AAUGGGUUUGAAAAAGUACUUUUGUCCUGGGUGAACUCUACUUUGUUCUUGUUUUUUGCUGUGGGAAAGUUACUAUAUUUGUGAAGUUGUUUCUUUCUCGUAAAAAGGUAACUAUUAGAAUUACUGUUAAAAACCAAGCAUAAGGAUAAAAUACUUUGCAUAUAUCUUUGUGAAGUGGCUGCAGUGCAGUUCAUAUUUUAUGCAUUUUGUGUGUGACUCUUCCACUUAGGAUUUUAAGUUACCUCAUACAUUAUUCGUUCACUUAAUCACGUUCUCAGAGUUGGAAGAACAAAAGCACAGUCUUUCUUAUUUUACAAAUGAGCCAGCUGAGGAACACAUUUUGACAAGCUCUAGACCACCUAGAGAAUCUGGUAGAUUCUGGGACUAGAAUCAGCACAGGCUCAGUUUUUCCUUUUUAAAUUGUAAUAUCUGUGCUUUUUUUUCUUCUUCUUCUUCUUCCUCCCAAUUGGUGGGAUAACUGGUACAAUAAAGCUCAUACAGUGUAUAGCUUGAUUUUUUAAACAAGUAUGCUCCUGUGUAGCACCACUCAGAUCAAAAUACAGAACACUUCCAGAAUCCCAUAAAGAUUUUUCAUUUUUCCAGUCUAUACCUGUCUUCCUCACCUCCUGGGUUUAACACUAUUCUUGUAUCUUUAAACAAUAGUUUUACUUCUUGAACAUCAUAUAAAUGGAAUCACACACAGUAGGUAAUCCUUUAUAUUGGCUAUUUUUUUCUUGUCCACAUAGUAUCUGUUAGAGUCAUCCAGAUUGCUUUGUGUGCGGCUGCGUAGUGUUCCUUUUAAUGUGCCACAAUUGAUUUACCAUUUGCUUGUUGGGUUAUUUUGCACUAUAAACACUAGUAGAUGAGUGCCAAAGCUCACUCAGUGAUGUGGAAUCAGAAACGCAAAAAUACAGUUCUUGCUGGCAGCUUUUGUGUCAGCUUGCACACUUCACAGAGAGGGGCAAUACCCCCAAAAAGCUUGACUUGGACUUUAAAGUCACUCCCUAGUCUGUCCUGCUCUUUUAUUGCACCCCAUUUCAUUUACAUCCUCAGCAACAAACUGUGUUUUAAAACUUCCAAUCCAAAGGAGUGUUUGCAGUUAUGACUCAGUCGUGUGGCUUUGAUCAAGAUUUAGUUUGUUUAGCAUGUAUUUAUUGUGUAUUACUGUGUGCCAGGCACUGUUCUAGGCCCUGGGGAUACACUCAUGAGCAAGACAGACAUGGUGUCAUGUUCAUGAAGCUUUUUGCCUAGUGGAGGAAAAAGACGCACAUAAUAAAAAUCAAAUUAAACAAACGAAUAAAUACAGUAAUAUAAAAAUUAAUUCAUACAGUAAUUUCAGGUUAUGAUUACUGAUACGAAAGAAAUAAAUAGGGUGUCAGGGAGUGUGCAGGGGGGAAACUGUUUAAGUAAGGUGAUCAGAGAAGGCCUCUCCAAGGAGACAGUGUUAGGCAGAGACUUGGAGAGUGAAGAGGAGAAAGUUCUGUGAGGAGCUGGGGGACAUCACGGGGAUGACCCCCCUGAAUGUCUUCUCUUGCCAGUAAAUACUCUUAGAUGACCAUUUCUGUGAUUUCAGGUUUUCUUCACAGUUAAAAUUUGCUUCCAUGAUAGAAUGAACAGACCCAACCAGCCCCCAGCAGGUAUUUUUCUGUAUGCAGAAUGCAGAGGUGCAAUAUUUUUCAGAGGCUACAGGAACAGCUUCUUUUAGUGAUGCAAGACAGAGUUUUCAGUGUUUUGCAGAAAGCUUCCUAAGGAGCAUACUCUGUCUGUUAUUCUUGUGUGUUGAUUUGGUGAUUCUGCACAUCUCAACUUUUAGCUCUCUAAAGUCCAAUGGGCCUUGUAACUUGUCACUUUCCCUGCAUGGAUUGUCUGCUGAGGCAAGAUGUUUGGCGAGAAGUGAAAGACUUUCUAAUGGUCCUGUAAGGCUGGAGCCAAAAAGUGUUUGUUGCUAACUCUCUCUUGACAAAAGUCAGUUCUUAGUCCAUCUGUUCACCGUUUGUUAAUUUGCAUUGGCUUGAAACCUGUUUACAGGUGACAUGCUAUUAUGAGGACACUUAGAAACUAUUUUAAGCAUGAAGGCAAUCAACAGACUCUGUUCUCAUGCCAAAAAAAAAAAAAGGUGUUCACAACUGUCAUUGUACAUUUAUAAUAAACCACUCACAAUACUUAGUUUCCAAGAGAGAAGUUAUUUACUCUGUCCUAAGAGUACAACAUUGAAAUGAUUUCCUAUACUUAGUUGCCUGUCUCCUGUGAAAAUCGACUGCUGCUUUUUCACAUCAUUGAGCUUUUUGGACUCACAUGAUGCUGGAAUCCCUUCAUAGAACGACGGUCCAGUAGGCAAGAUCUGUAUCUGAAAGACAUUCAUGAAUUCUUUGCACUUUUAUUAAGUACCUACCAUGUGCUAUUCAAGGAGCCCUGGUGUUACAGUGGUUAAGUGCUCUGCUGCUAACCAAAAAGGUCGGCAGUUUAAACCCAACAGUUGCUCUGUGGGAGAAAGAUGUGGCAGUCUGCUUCUGUAAAGAUUAUAGCCUUGGAAACUCUAUGGCACAGUUCUGCUCUGCACUGUAGGGUUGCUACAAGUUGGAAUUGUCUCAGUAGCGGUGGAGUUGGUUUUUGGUAUAUGCUACUUAUUAUGUGAGUUGUCAGGGACAGAAACGCAAAUAAGACAUGGUUGCUGACCUAAUCGGGUUAUAGAAGUUUUUUUAAAAGCUAAAAAAUAACAUACUGGUAAUAUAUACAUAAGGUACAUGAAGCAAAGGUAACAAAAAAGAAAAGAAAAAUAGUAAUACUGUCACCCUGAGAAGUUACUAUUAAGGUUUUGGUGAAUAUUUUUCUGGAGUUUUUUCUAUAUAAUUUUUAAAAACAAACUUUCAAAAAGGGUUGUACUGUAAUACUGUUCUGCAUCAUAUCCCAAUAUUUAUUAUAGUUGUUAAAUUUUAACUCUGUAUAAUUUGAUCUGUGGGAUAUUUGUGUUUGGAUAUUAAUUAGCCAUGUUAUGGUUGUGUUCUGCAGAAGACUGCAAAUUAAAUUUUUAUUACAAGCAAGACAUGACCUUAACAAGAUCUCUCUGUACUAACUUUGUUGUUAAGGAAAUCCCUUGAACCCUCUUAUAAAACAAUACUUAUAUCCUCUACAAUUCCUCCAAGAUUGCUGUGUUAGUUAUCUCUUGCUGUCUAACAAAUUGCCCCAGAACUUAGUGGCUUAUCAACAAUAAACAAUUAUUAUCUUUCACCAUUUCUGUGAGUCAGGAAUCUGGGAAUGGUUUGGCUGAGUGCUUCUGGUUUGGCUUCUCACCAGGGUUGCAAUCAGAUAUCAGCCAGGGCUGUGGUCAUCUGAAGGUUUGACUGGGGUUAGAGAGAAUCUACUUCCAAGGUUGCCGGCUUAUGUGGCAGAGGUGAUGGCUGUUGACAGACCUUGGUUCCUUUCCACGUAGACCUCUCUAAAGGAUGCUUGAAUAUUCCCUCCAGGUGGCACCCGGCUCCUCCCAGAUGAGCAGUAUAAGUGAUCUAAGAAGAGUGAGAGCAAGGCAGAGGUCAUCCUUUAAAUGGCGUCCCCUCAGAAGACGCAUAGCAUCAAUUCCACCCCAUUCUGUUUGUUAUAAUCAGUCACGAAGUGUGACUGACAUUCAAGGGGAAGAGAUGAGGCUCUACUUUUUGAAGAGAAGAGUGUUAGAGAAUUUGCAGACGUGUUUUAAAACCACCCUAGUUGCUAAUGGGGAGAGACAUUCCACAGUGGGGAUGAGUGGCUGAGCCUAUAAGCCCAAUUCACUUAUUUAUUCAGUAUAUAUUUGCUGAGUACCUACAAGUGCUGUGCUGAGGAUUCAGAGGUGAACAAGAUAUAAUUUUGGUCUUUAGGAAGCUCUUGAGUAGAAACAGAAGACCGAACAAGUAGCAGGACAUGAUGAUGAAAUGUGCUAAAUAAGUCUGACAAUGGACAUGAUCUACUAGUGCCCAGGGAGGCAGUGGGCAGGGUGCUGAGGUAGAUCUUCCACUUGAGAAGGCCCAGCCAAAUAUCACAGGAUUUCUUCCCUGCUAGCUGUGAAGGAUGGAAGUUUUGUUUUAUUAAGAGAGCUAGAUGCUUUCUUUUAUGGGCUUUACAGGAUCCUAAGGAUUUUUUUUUUUUUUUUAAGGAAAGGUUUUAUUUUUAACCAGCAGAGGGAAACAGUGAAGGGCGAUGGUUGGGUCCUCACACCCCCUCCUCUGUAACUUUAUGCAGCUGUUACUGCAGUGAUGGAUGGGUUUCUGCAUUGGCUUCUGUCAGAAGUUGGAUGGCACCAAGGCUACUCCAACAAAACCACUGACUCUCCUUGACUGUGCUGAGACCGCAGGCAUGGCAAGAAUGCAGGAGCUUUUGUACAUUGUGUUUGUUUUUAAAAUGGAGUUGGUUUUAACAGUAGUAGUCUUUGAAGACUCAGAUUCCCCGCCCCCCCAUUCCCACAAGAUUAGUGAUUCCUGGGAUUAAUGAUUUAUAUCUUUCUCCCCCUCCAAAGAAGCUUGUAAAAAGACAAAGAUGCUGUUUGCAGUGAAAGAUCUUUUGUCAUGUGUUAGCCUUCAGAGGGCACUGACUAAGCAGCCUACUUCCAUGAUUCCCAAAUGUUUGGGUUAAGUGUUUUGCAGAUGGGGCAAUAUUGUUUUUAUAAAGAAGCUGUGUCCCCUGCUGCUGUGUAAACAUUGCCUGGCUUUUGACCCUUGUAGUAUUGAAACAGUCUGGUGAGUGGCUAUCUUUUUUGAUUGGUCUGUUAAGUUGUAUAUUGAGAUAUCUAUGCAUUUAAUAUAUACCAGAUGUAGCUGUGUUUACUUGUGCUCUUUCGUAGAUAGCAGCCUCAACUUUAUGAUGCAUUUGUUUGUGUGCGUGUGUGUGUGCGUGUGUGUGUAUGUGUUGGGGGACCUUCGUGUUAACAUGGGAUAUUGGUUUUAAUUGAUAAGGCCAAGCCGAAUGGCCUAUGACUCUUUGAGUUUUAGCAGUUUGGCCUGAUGAAAUGCUGGUGUUCAGUGGUAGCCGAGGUGAAAGACUCUCAUUUGUUCUUUGUGUGUGUGUGGUAGUGUUUAUGUACCAUGCCCACAUUCUAAGGUAGACAAUGCGAUUAACCAACCAAAACCAACCAGUUGCCGUCGAGUAAAUUCCAAUUCAUGGUGAACCCGUGUGUGUCACACUCUUAUUUGUGUUCUUAUUCUGCAGACAUUCUUAUUCUCCUCAUUUAGGUUUGAAGGGGAAAAAUUGUUUUCCGGAAAGAUUAAAAAAAAAAAAAAACUACCCCUGGCCCCCAGAAGUUGUGGGGAUAGGCAGUUUCUUUUGUAUUAUGUUAUCUUCUAUAAAAAGAUACUUCUUGCUGAAUUAAGAGCACUUGCCCUUCUAUAUGUUACCUUUCUCCAGUCACUGGGGAUGAACUGUCCAUACUUCCAGCUAAGAAUAACCUUUACUGCGUGUCUGCUAGGUCCAAUCCCCUCUCACGUACUCAGCGCCAUUUCUGUAUUGGUCACCUUUUUCUCUCCUACACCAUCUGUAUCUCCCCUUCUCCUAGAGUCACACCUGUUAGCAUACAAAACAUGCCUACCCUAAAAGUCAUCUCCUUCGAGAACACCCAUCUCUUAAUUCCAGCUCCCCUUCCAGCACCCAACUCAUUUCUCUCCUCUUUAUAGCAAAACUCCUCCAAAGAGUUGACUAGUCUGCAAUCUUUCUCCCACUACAGACAGCCACUGUCUGAUUUUUGUCACUAUACCCUAGUUUUGCUUCUUCUAGAGCCUCACAUAAAUGGAGUCAUGGAGAAUGUAGUAUGUUCUCUCUGGCUUCUUUUGUUCAACAUGAUGUUUUUGAAAUUAUUUAUGUUGUAUGUAUUAGUGAUUUGUUCCAUUUUAUUGCUGAACAGUAUUUUUUUUUAUCGUGCUUUAAGUGAAAGUUUACAAAUCAAGUCAGUCUCUCAUACAAAAAUUUAUAUACACCUUGCUAUAUACUCCUAAUUGCUCUCACCCUAAUGAGAGAGCCCACUCCUUCCCUCCACUCUCUUUUUUCGUGUCCAUUCCACCAGCUUCUGACCCCUUCUGCCCUCUUAUCUCCACUCCAGGUAGGAGAUGCCAACAUAGUCACAAGUGUCUACUUGAUCCAAGAAGCUCAUUCUUCACCAGCUUCUUUUUCUAUCCCAUUGUCCAGUCCAAUCCCUGUCUGAAGAGUUAGCUUUGGGAAUGGUUCCUGUCUUGGGUUAACAGAAGGCCUGGGGGCUGUGACCACCAGGGUCCUUCUAGUCUCAGACAGACCAUUAAGUCUGGUCUUUUUACAAAGAAGCACUGAGUCAGACAGUUUAAACGUGACUGCUCUCCUGUUCCCUCAGGGGUUCUCUGUUGUCUUCCCUGUCAGGGCUCUCAUCGGUUGUAGGUGGGGACCAUCUAUUCUUCUGGUCUCAGGCUGAUGUGGUCUCUGGUUUAUGUGGCCCUUUCUGUCUCCUGGGCUCAUAAUUACCUUGUGUCCUUAGUGUUCUUUCUUCUCCUUUGCUCCAGAUGGGUUGAGACCAAUUGAUGCAUCUUACAUGGCCACUUGCUAGCAUUUAAGACCCCAGAUGCCACUCUCCAAAAUGGGAUGCAGAAUGUUUUCUUAAUAGAUUUUAUUAUGCCGGUUGACUUAGAUGUCCCCUGAAACCAUGGUCCCCAAGCCUCCACCCCUGCUACGCUGGCCUUCGAAGCAUUCAGUUUAUUCAGGAAACUGCUUUUGGUUUAGUCCAGUUUUGCUGACCUCUCCGAUACUGUGUAUUGUCUUUUCCUUACCUACUAUCUAAUUAGUGAAUACCCCUCUUCUUCUCCCCUCCCUCCCCAGUAUCGUAACCAUCAAAGAAUGUUUUCUUCUCUGUUUAAACUCUUUCUCGAGUACUUAUAAUAGUGGUCUUAUUCAAUAUUUGUCCUUUUGCAGCUGACUAAUUUCACUCAGCAUAAUGCCUUCCGGGUUCCUCCAGGUUAUGAAAUGUUUCACAGAUUCAUCACUGUUCUUCAUUGAUGCAUAGUAUUCCAUUAUGUGAACCUACCAUGAUUUAUUUAUCCAUUCAUCCGGUGAUGGGCACCUUGGUUGCUUCUGAGCAGUAUUCUUUUGAUGUUCUUUGGAGCCUACUGGUAACAUUUCCUCAACAUUCUACAUCUGUUUCAAUAUUGUCUAAUACCUUCAGGAGUUCAGGGAGUGUCUCACUUGAUGCUCCUCUUCUUGGAUGACCCUCCUCAGGUUUGAGUAACAACAGCAACAACACAAAAACAGCAUGCAGUGACAAGUGUUGAUGGAAGGACAUGACACUGAUUCAGGAGGUAACAGGAAUAAUGACAUGACACUCACACCUAGGUGUUCCAGUGUUUGAACAACAGAUUGCCUGUGGUACGGGCGCUAAUCUGGCUCUGGAAGUUUAAAUGAAAAGGGCUCAUCUUCUGCCGCUGCCUUGCACGCUAAUUCCCAAGAAGAUCAUCAAUUUGAAAUUACACAUGGUACUUAUACAGAUGAUUGGCUUCUUUCCAAGUUGUCUGGUAAAUGCUGCUUCUAUUCUUGAAAGGCAGAGGCUCAUGUUGUCUUUCGCUUAAUGUAUAACCAACAGGAAUUACAGAAAGCACAGCAAUGACAUAAAUCCAUCCCUGGCAAGAGUGAUGAAUGAGGGUGGUAGCUGAUCGUGGACAUUGAUGUUUAAAAUGAAUAAGACAAAUAUUUGCCAGGAUGAAACUCACUGAACUAAGAGUCUCUUCUUGUAGCUUACUGGCCGUUAUAUCAUUAUCUUUUCUGCUUCUGAUUUUCAAGACCUUUUCUCAGCCAUUCAUUUGUUAACCUGCAGGUGUCUGCAAUUGCUACUUCAUUACAAAAACUUUGAUGUAGAUGUUUUUGAAUGAUGACUGUUAACAUGCUUCCGUGCAGGGACCUAAUUUUCUUCUUUAUGACAUGACUUUCGUUUUGCCUCCUCAGGUUCUGUAUAUUUUGUUGAGGGCUGAAUUUGGUUAUAUGUUGAUAAAUUUGCUUUGAAUUCUUCAACUUGGGUAACAGGAGCCUUGAACAGGAAUAUUUGGCAUCUUUUUUAUUGGGGACCCCUGGUGGCGCAGUGGUUAAGAAUUUGGCUGCUAACCAAAAAGAUUGAAUCCACCAACCACUCCUUGGAAACCCUGUGGGGCACUUCUCUGUCCUAUAGGGUCACUAUGGGUCGGAAUUGACUCCAUGGCAACGGGUUUGGUUUUUUACUGGAGUUUGGUUUACCUCUGAGCAAGGUAACAGUGAGCGAGGAACAAACUGGUUUACUGCUAUGAGUUUUAGAAGUGCAAAGUAUUGUUUCCUAAAUCUUUCCUUUUUAGGGAUACUUUUAAAAGGGAGUAGUGUAUUACCCAGGUCGCCGACACACCUUGAGCUUGGUCUGGUGGCAGGGAAGGUGUGUUGUCUGCACUAAGUGUCCCAGAAAGGAAACUGAGAACUUUGCAGCUGUAAGUUUCCUGAGUUCUGGAAAAAGUCAUCAGAACUUGGGUAGAAAUUCACUGUCUUUCUUUCCCCUACUGGCAAGUAUUAAGUAACAGUAUUCAUUAAAUACCACAGAGAGGCUAUGUAAUAAAGAAAUAAUCCUAGGCCUAGGUGGCUAUAACUCUCCAGAAGAGUUAAAAUUGAGAAUAUAAUUAAAGAUUAAAACAUUGUUUGCAUUCUAGAACAUGGAGAAAUCUUUUCUCUCCAUUGUGGGACCAUGUUAAUAAGGAAGAGAUCAGUUUCCAAUAACCAACACCAGCGAAGCUGAUUUAUUAACAUCACUCACGUUUAAACUGUCUGACUCAGUGCUUCUUUUGCCUUUUUCCUGCAACACUGGAACUGCCACCAGGAGUAGUGAGAGAUACCAGUCUUAUCUCAAAAAAAAAAAAAAAACAAAACAAUCUAUUCAGUGUUCUGAGUUUGGAUAGGAAUGUUCAGAUAGCAAGGGUUACCUGUAUAUGGAUCCUUAAUCCUGUAAUUCUUUGUAUUCCUCUGUUUUGUCAACAAAAUAAUUUUAUCUCUUGUUUCAGCCGCUUUUCUAUACAUAGGUUAGGAGGAACUAGUGUACCUAGCUGCUUUAAGAUUUAUAAUUGUGGCUGGUGAAGGGCCUGGGCACACUAUAAAAUUAUGUUAGGCCAUCUUGACACAGUGACAGAAACCCUUUGUGGUCAAAUAGUUGGUAUUCAGAGCUCCUGGAAACCAGCCUUGGAGGGAAGAUCCUGGGUCCCUACCCUAUUGGAUUGUUAAGGUUUAACUGCACAAGUACUGUUUCAUUUUCUCUCACUGCUUUUUAUUCACAUAUGUUUGCUUUCCAUUUGCUUGAAAUAGAAUUGCAAAGCAUUUUGAGGCCAAGGACAUAGAAUGAUCUUCCUUAGGUUUCCAGUCUCCAAUGUUGUGUUGCCCUCAUUGCUCUUUAGAGAUUUUCAGUUGAGGGCUGGAGAAGACACACCCAGUAAUAAUUCUCGAAAUGUCCUUUUUUAUGUGCUUGUGUUAUUGGCAGAGAAAGAAAAUGUCUCUGAGUCUGGGUCAUUGACUGGGGAAGGAAAAAUGUGACUCACUGACGGGGCAGAAAAACCUUCAACUCGUAACUUCUGUAAUGCUUUAUUUAAUUUUGUAUCUCCUCUGUGGCAUUUGUCACAUUCUACCUUGGGUUAUGGUUACUCCCUGCUAGAAAGAAAACUCCUUGAGGACCAGGACUCUGUGUCUUUUAUUGCCCAACUUUGUACUGAUGGUUGGAUGCACAGAACUUAAGGCUUUAUGCUGCCCUCUGGCUGAUGAGGCUGAGAGCAUUUUUUCACAAUAUGUCAUGGACUUGCUUUCAUGCUCCUCAUAGUUCUUUAGUAAAGGGUCAGUAUAAGCCUUGGGGAUUUAAAUGGCUUGAAACCAGCCAUUUGGACAGACAGAUACUUAUGGGAGGGGUUUGGAGUUUCAGAUCUUUCCAUUGUGGCAAUUCUUUUUGCCAAGAAGGAUGGGUAGGAUUAGAUCUGGAGGCUGGGGCCAGUGAGCAGACCCUGAGAGCCAGGCAGAGGCCUAGUAGCUUGCUACCACGGGGGAGCAGCAAGCCCCCAGGGGCUCACGAACAAGCACUAAUAUGUGGAAAGUGGUGUAUUGGGAAGAUUAAUCAAGACACAGAGCGCAAAUAAAUAAGAUAGUCCUUUGUAGCUGUUUAAAAGAUAAUUGGUUCAUGUUACUUAUCUUUUAUCUCCUCUCUUUGGGCAGGAGAAGAAUUUCUGGGAGAAAUAAAUGAGGAAUCCCUCAUGAAUAUUAAUGUAAAAAUCUGUCUAUAGAGAAUAAAUAUAGGGACACUUUGUUUUAAAUGCUCUAUGUCAUUGUGCUUCAUUAGCAUAUAUGUUGUAAAAGAUACUUUUCUCCCCUUGAGAGAACCAUAUUUAGUUCAACUAAUAGCCGCAGACUGAAAUCUGUAGCUUGUCAGGAUUGUAAUACUUUAGAUGGACAGGAGAACUACUUUGCUUCCUUGCUUCAACCAGGGGGUUUCCUUGUCUUCACCCACACUCCUGCUGGCCCAGGGUGGAAAGUAGGUAGGAAGUGCUACAUGUCUCAUUAUCUAGACCCUUCAUCUGGACCUUUGAGUCCUGCUGCCUGACCCCCUGCCUGGUACCCUACCUACUCCGUCUGUGUACGUGUGCACACACGCACACACACAUACAUACACAUUUAUACUUUUCAGUCUGCAAGCAUUUAUUAAACUCUUCCUAUAUAGGCUAGGUGGUUAGGUGUGUGCUUGAUCAGAGUGGGAAUCUAAAGGUAUGGAAAGUACUGUAUAUGAACAAAUGAGAAAGGUAAUGAGUUCCAUUUGAAGACAUGUUAGAUUUGAGGUGCCUGUAAGGCUCGGAUGAAAUGAUAUGAUGUAUUGGAUUUGCUUUAAAUUACUCUAGUGCGUCUUACCACGUCUGGAGCAAGGGAGAAUGAAGAAAACUAAAGACACAAGGGAGAGAUUAGUCUAAAGGACUAAUGGACCACAAGUACUACUGCCUUCACCAGACUGAGUCCAGGACAAGAUGGUGCCCAGCUAUCACCACCGACUGCUCUGACAAGAAUCACAAUAGAGGGUCCCAGACAGAGCUGGAGAAAAGUGUAGAACAAAAUUCUAACACGCACACAUGCAUGCACGCACACACAGACACACCCCAGACUGGACAGACUGACAGAGACUGGAGAAACACUGAGAGUAUGGCCCUGGACACCCUUUUAGCUCAGUAAUGAAGUCACUCUUGAGAUUCAUCCUUCAGCCAAAGAUUAGACAGGCCCAUAAAACAAAAUGAGACUAAAUGGGCACACCAGCCCAGGGGCAAGGAUAAGAAGGCAGGAGGGGACAGGAAAGCUGGUAAUGGGGAACCCAAGGUCGAGAAGGGAAAAGUGUUGACAUGUUGUGGGGUUGGCAACCAAUGUCACAAAACAAUAUGUGUACUAAUUGUUUAAUGAGAAACUAGUUCUGUAAACCUUCAUCUAUAGUACAUUAAAAAAAAAAAUUUACUCCACUGGAUAAAAAAAAAAAUACCACCCUCUAAAGUCGGUGUGGGGAAAAUGACAAAAAUAGCUACUAUUAUUUAAACCAGAUAAUGAGUACAUUACAGCUGAUGCAUUUAUUAUACAGUUUUAUGUACUUUGGUGUUUAUUUGAAAUUUUUUUAUAACAAAGUGUGUAAAAAAUACAAGUCUAGAGCUUGGACUGUGAUUGAAGAAAUAUUAUUUUGUUAGCUGGCUCUAUAUCGAUGGUACAUGAGGACUUGUGGGUGGAUAAAAUCUACCAGGAAUCCCGGAGGGAGACCAAAGGAGGGCAAGCAGAGGAGGAGUUCGCCAGCCUGCCUGUCAAAUGGUACUUGCAAUCCCUUACUGUCUACCUCUGGGCCUGGCUUUAGUCUCAGCUGACCUCUCCUAUAUUUGUCUUAGACUCAUUGUGACAUAGACUAAAAUUUAAAAGUCACUGUCUUCCAUAGAUACUGAAUCAAAGACAAAUUGCAUGCAACAGAAAAUUGUAAUAAAGAACCUAGCCAUUAAGCACUAAGUUGAAUGUGGCAGCCUGCAGAAUCAGUUUAAAAAUUAUAUUUCAUUGCAUCCUCUAAUUGCAUUUCUCCUCUACAAGGUGAUUUUAUCCAGGAAGACAGCUGUCUGGUGUGGUUAUUACAUCAUUCUGGCCAUUAUUGGGCAAAGGAGGAAAAGAAAUAGGUGGUUGUGUAGUAGAGCUCCUCAGGUAGAAGCAGGAUCUUUUUUUUUUUUUUUAAUCCGUCUUUGCAUAACAAAGGGGCUUUAAGGUUUGUUAAUAUUUCACACCAUGCCAUUCCCAAACAACACUGGUUGUAAGUGAAAUUCUUUUAAAAUCUUUCUGUCCUUCCCUGGAAUGGGAAGUAGUUUUGGUGGUCUUCUUGGUGUGUGUGUCUUUUUCUUUCACUUUCUGCUGUGUAGGCUAUUAGUAACCCAUAGAUUUCAGCCCAGAAAGCCCCAUUUAGGGUUAUAAGUGAUCAAGAAGCAGUAAGGCAGUUUCCGUGUUCACUUUUGCUAAAAAUUAUUCCAUAAGCUCUCCCAGGUAGGUGACCUCAGCAGGCUAGCUCUGUAACAUGAGAAUAGGUAGGAAUAGGAAAUGACUUUGUCUGUUAGCUUGAAUCUUAGGGCAGAAUGGAUUUUGACCUGCUGGUCACUCUGAUAGUAUUCAUUUAUGGUAGAUACAUAGGAAUUUUGAAUAAUAAAUAUGAAAAGCCUGUUUUUAGCCCAGAUUAUAUUUAUUUCCAGCUUGCUGAGACAUUAAAUGUGUCAUCUCUCCAAUUUUGGUUAGUGUGUUUCUCCAGUUUUGGUUAAUAUGUUGGGGGAGUAGAAAUGUAUUUCUAAACCUAGAUCAAGUUCUGAGCUCAGGGCCUGCUGAUCCUUAGGAUGAGUAGUUAAGGCCAGUGCACAUUCUAGGAGCAUUCUAACAGCUCGGUAGUUGUGGACUUGAAUGUUUCCCAAGGAAAGAGAUCAACCACCAGGCUCAGAUCUGGACGUGAGGAAGCCUUUAAAACAGUGAAUCCCAACCCUGGCUGAUGUUAGAAUCAUAUGAGGAGGUCUUUAGGGUUGUAAGGUGCAGUCAUAUUUUUAAACCACUCCCAGAGCACUUUUAAAAAGUACUUAUGUAAAUCAAGAGUACAUAAUUUAGUUUAUCGUAGAUCUGAUGUGUAUUCUUGUCUUUACAACUUAAUUUUUUAACACCUUUAUUGGGAUCUAAUUAAAAUACAGUAAAUCACACAUGUUUAAAGUGACACGUGUGAAACCAUCACCUGGUGCAUAUACACACCUGAAGUUGACAACCACUGCUCCAGAGGGGGCGCACGUAUCUCAGAAAACGGUUGUCAGAAUAUCUGUAAGAUGAAGGGAACAAUUGUUGUGGGGAAAACUUGACAAAGCUUAUUUUGCUCAAGGCUGUAGAUGGGAACCUGCUAGAAUUUAAAACUCAGAAGAAGGUGAAUCCUAACUUUGUUGCUUCCUCAUCAGCUCCCAAAAUGUAUCCAGUGUCAUCAGUACCAUUCAUUUCCCUAACCAGCUUUAGCCUCUGAGCCUUGGAUCUAUGGACAAGGACAGACUGGUGAUGUUUUAGUUUUUUGUUUGAAUAUAUUCUUAUUUUUUAUUAGUGGUUUGUUCCUUCAAGUUAAGUUAGUAGUUAUAACCAGGCAAGUUGUGUUAUCAUCAUGGGGACUUUUAAAUGUAUUUAUGUAAAUCAGGAGUACAUAGUUUAGCUUAUUGCGGAUCUGCUGUGUAUUCUUAACUUUACAACUUUAUUUUUUUUUUAACAGCUUUGCUGGGGUUUAAUUGAAAUACAGUAAAUUGCAUAGUGUUUAAAGGAUCAAGUGGAUAAGUUUUACCUAUGUAUACACCUGUGAAACCAUUACCUUACUCAUGGUAAUCAAGAUAAUGAACAUAUUCAUCACUCCCAAAGCUUCGUUCUGCUUUGUAAUCACUCCCAUACUAUCCAUCCUCCCCGCAUCCCCAGGCAACCACUGACCUGCUCUUUGUCACUAUAGAUUAGUUUGCAUUUUCUGUAAUUUUAUUUAAAUGAAAUUAUAUAUUAUAUACUCUUUUUUUUUAAUGAAUCUGACUUUUUACUUAGCAUAAUUAUUUUGAAGUACAUCCUUAUUGUUGGCAUGUAUCAGUAGGUCAUUUCUUUUUAUUGCUGUAUGGUAUUCCAUUGACUGCAUAUACCACUAUUUGUUUAUCCAUUCAAUGUUGAUGGGCAUUUAGGUUGUUUUCAGUUUUUGGCUAUUGCAGAUAAAGCUGCUAUGUACAUUUAUGGACAUAUGUUUCAUUUCUCUUAGGUAAAUACUAGAAGUGCAAUAUCUAGGCCAUAUGGUAGGUUUAACUUUUUAAGAAAAUUUUAAACUGCUUUCCAGAGCAUUUGUAUCAUUUUAUAUUCCCAUCAGCAGGGUUUGAGAGUUCCAGUUACUCCAUAUUCUCAUUAACACUUAGUAUGGUCAAUCUUCUUGAUGUUAGGCAUUCUAAUAGGUAUGUAGUGAUAUCUCACUGUAGUUUUCACGUACAUUUCUCUAAUGACUAAUGGUGUUGAAUGUCUUUUCAUAUACUUAUUUGCCAUGGGUGUGUCUUCUUUGGUGACGUGCAGAAAAAAAGGUUCAGGCCUACUGCAAGAGGAGUUACUUUGGAGAAAAGUUAGAUCUUAGGAAUUUUCCUUUGAUGGUUUUGAAAACUCCUUAAUGUAGAGCUGGGAACCCUGGUGGCUUAGUGGUUAAGUGUUAACGGCUGCUAGCGAAAAGGUCAUCAGUUCAUAUCCACCAGGCACUCCUUGGAAAAUCUAUGAGGCAGUUCUACUCUGUCCUAUAGGGUCGCUAUGAGUCAGAAUCGACUCUACAGCAAUGGUUGGUCUAAAUGUAGAGCGUAUCACAGAUAAAUUAUUAUAUAUUAAUUGAUGAUUAUCUGUUGAAUACCUACAGUGUGCCCACCCUUCUACCCGUUACUGUGGUGGAAUUCAGAAGAAAUUGUAGUCUUGGGCUGCAACACCUAGGGGCUCACAGUCUAGGUUUUGCUUGAAUGUUUCAUGGUGUUUCUUAACCUUGUUACCUUCUUUCCUUUACAAGUGUGAUAACAGUGGAUCAGGAGUUGGUUGGUGCUUUUAAGUUAGCUAUUCCUGGUUUUUCUGGUAGGGGUGCUUGUCUUUGAAUCCCUGGAGCCUAGAUUCUUGCUAUUCUUUAAUUGGUAUUUAUUUGCAAUCUGCUCUGACUUUCAUUUAUUUUUGCCAUUCAGCAAAUAAAAUCUAGUAUCCACAAUGCUAGGUGCAGGGUAUUAAGCAUCAAACUUAUAAAAAAAGACUUCAGUCUCUAACCUUAGUGGACACUUCCUUUAGGAGCUUACAGUAUACUGAGAAGACAAGGAAAGAGACUGUAAGAAUCCAGAAGAAAGAUAUGUAAUUGACUCUGUGGAACCAGGGAAGGCUCCUUGGAGGCUGUAUGUUAGGAAAAGAUGAAAUUCACUGUAACUAGACUUGGAUACAAUGUUGGUGUCCUAUGUUAGAACAGCUACCCAUCACCCCUAAAAGGAGGCAAAAGGAAGAAGCAUUGUGAAAAUGAUUGGGGAAACCCUGCUAUAAGAGAGUUAUGCUUAUGUGGCCCAGAAUCCAGUGCUCCUUUCUCUGCCCUUUCUGAGGUAAGCACCAUCUCAUGCAUAGUUCUCCAUUCCCCCUUUUUAUCUUUGUUACCCUAGGAACGUUAUUUUAACCCUUUAGUAACCACAGUGAGAGACCGUAUCAGGCUUGGGUCUCAGAUCAAACUUACAAAAGACCUUAGUCUCUAACCUUAGUGGAGACAUCAUGAUAGGGCAGUGCAACGUUUUGAGAUUCACCUAUGUGCCUAGUCCACAGAUAGACUUCAUUAUAAUUAUAGUGUUGAGCUGAAACUCCUCGUGCCUCUCCAUCUUUCUUUCCCUGUUUGUUGAGGCUCAGGCAAAGAAAUUCCCAGGUAUAUCUUUUAAAGCAAUGUAAUUCUUGGCUGUAGGGACUUCCCUUCUGUGCAGCUGCCCUAGUUUCCCACACAGAGAGUUAGAUUUGUGGGACUUAAUGUCCUCAGAGAAGAAACCGAGGGAUCCUUAGUUACAGAUUAAAUAAACUGCCCCCUCUCCAAUCCUACCCCUACCCUUUUAGGCCCCAGAAGUGUUUUACAGAGUUGUGUUCCUUCGACUUGUCAAAAUUUACAACAUUUACAUCUUAGUGCUCCAAAGAAAACAUCCUUCUAAGUCUUUCACAUUCUCGAAUAAAAUUUAACUCCAUAUUCUAUCAUAUCAUUAAGUCCACAUGAAUUCUGAGCAUAGUAGCUCUGUGAUGAUGAAGAAGGAUGUCCAUUUCCUUUCUGACAUGUAAUAAAAUAGCUUUAGGUUUUUUUUUUUUUCUUGGUGGAUUAAGGCACCUUGGGAAAAAUAAAACAGUUGAAAUUAAGAUAAGUAAAUAAAAGCCACCAAUUUCCUUUUCCUUCUCUUCAGCAGAACGCCUACCCUUUUUUUUUUUUUUAAUUUUUGUUGUGUUUUAAGUGAAGGUUUACACAUCAAGUCAGUCUCUCAUACAAAACCUUUUAUACACCUUGCUAUAUACUCCUCGUUGCUCUCCGCCUAAUGAGACAGAACACUCCUUCUCUCCACCCUGUAUUUCCGUGUCUAUCCAGCCAGCUUCUGUCCCCCUCAGCCUUCACAUCUCCCCUCCAGACAGGAGCUGCCCAGAUAGUCUCGUGUGUCUACUUGAUCCAAGAAGGCCACUCCUCACCAGUAUCAUUUUCUGUCUUGUAGUCUAGUCCAAUCCCUGUCUGAAGAGUUGGCUUCGAGAAUGGUUCCUGUCUUGGGCUAACAGAAGGUCUGGGGACCAUGACCUCCGGGAUCCCUCUGGUUUCAGUCAGACCAUUAAGUCUGGUCUUUUUAUGAGAGUUUGGGGUCUGCAUCCCACUGCUCUGUGUUGUGCUCCCUGUCAUGGGAGUCAUCAGUUGUAGCUGGGCACCAUCUAGUUCUUCUGGUCCCAGGCUGAUGUAGUCUUUAUGUGGUCCAUUCUGACCCUUGGGCUCAUACUUACCUUGCGUCUUUGGUGUUCUUCAUUCUUCUUUGCUCCAGGUGGGUUGAGACCAAUUGUUGCAUUUUAGAUGGCCGCUUGCUAGCAUUUAAGACCCCAGAUGCCACUCUCCAAAAUGGGAUGCAGAAUGUUUUCUUAGUAGUUUUUAUUAUGCCAGUUGACCUAGAUGUCCCCUGAAACCAUGGUCCCCAAGCGCCCACCCCUGCUACUCUGGCCUUUGAAGCAGAACUCCUGCCUUUUACUGUCAGUUGAAAGGGGGACACCCUCCGCUCCCAAAUGAGGCAUUCACAGAACCUCACUUUACAUAUCCGAUGUGGGUCUAGGGUAAAUUCUUAGAAAUUAACCUCCCUCCCCCUUUUAAAAUACUUUUAUUUUUAAGUUUUUUGAAAAAGGGACACUUAAAAUGUAAAGGUCUCCUAUGACCAAUUAAUUCAAUGUAGUUAAUUUAACAGACACUUAAACAGUAUGUGUCAUUGUCCUUACCUCUAAGGAACCUGUGAUAUUAUUGAGGGACAGUAUUUGGAGUGUCAUGAAAACCCAGACCUGGAAGAGCCAGAAGUAAUUUACUUCUCUACUCUAAUUUCACUGUUAAGGAAACUAAGGGUCCAGAUAAGUGUUUUUCUCAAAGAAGUUCUAUAGUGCAUGGUGCAUUGGUAGCAGAGCUAGGACUGGAAUCCCUUGAUUGUUUCGUUCCUCUAAUGCUCCCACUGAUAUUCCACCACUGUCUGCCUCCUGGGAUGUGGGAUGGGGCGGUAAUGGAGGAGGAAGAGAAAAAAACAAGACAGGAUAUAAAAAUUUGUGAAUCUUCUUUUUUUUUAGGUGAUUUUUUUGGAUGGUGUCAUAGAAUUACCACCCCCGUUUUUCCUUUCUUAAAUUUCCCCAAGUAGGAUACUUUCCUGGUUGCUUAUUGAAACUUGUGUGUGAACCUACCAGGAGCCACAGUCCAUUGCUUCUGGUUCUUUGCAAAUGGAGGAGGACAGUUUCAACAUUUAUGUGCUAAGAAUUAGAGCUUUCUGCUUCAGUGCUCCACGUGGCCCUGGAGCUCUGCACUGUUAGCACAGGUUUUUGGCAGAGAAGCAAAACUCUUAUGAACCAGAAGGAACAGAUACAUUGCUGUUCUAUAAAUGAGCCCAGAUUUAUAGACUCAGAGUUCAAAGAGAUGAGAGACCACCAAAGCAGAAUCUGCAGCGAGGGGGGACCACUCCAGGACUGGGCGGUGAUGAAAGCUACCACUUCCUGGGCACUCAGUUAGUUCUUACGUUGGAGCCUGAGGGGGAAUAUUACUCUCCUGGGCUUUACAGAUGGUUAUGCUGAGGCUUAGACCUUGUCUAGAGCCUCCCACCUGGGAAGUGGUGGGCCUGGGAGGCAUACCUGUUCGCUGGGACUACAGACCUACUCGUCUAAGCUAUGCAGGGUAGAACUGUGCCUUGUAUUUACCUCUGUCAUAGAUUAGGUUCUUUGGGAGCAAAUGUUGAGGUGGCUUUCGGUGUGCGGUAUAUUUAUUAGAAAUCAACAUCUGUGAAAGGAAGGAGAAGGAAGUAGGAUUGGACCAAAACCAAACCAAACCUGUUACCACCAAGUCGAUUCCGACUCACAGCAACCCUGUAGGACAGAGUAGAACUGCCCCAUAGGGUUUCCAAGGAAUGGCUGGUGGAUUCAGACUGCCAACCUUUUGGUUAGCAGCCUAGCUUUUAACCACUAUACCACCAGGGCUCCAGUAUUGGACAGGGGGGAAAAUCAAACUGUGAUACCUCCCACUGCGGGCAGCAAGGCCUUCCUUGAAGGGGGAUCUGUUGACGUAUCUCCUUGUCUACCACAAUCUCUGUCAGUCAUGGUACUGUUACUGUAUGGCUAAGUUUCAGAAUGCUGGUAAUUAUUUUUCUCCCAAAGUGGCAUAUUUGUAUAACUUUUUUAACAUGAUAAAUAAGGGUUUGCAGGAGAAAAUGCUUGAUUUUUUUUUUUUUAAACAGUUGACUACCCCGUAAUGUUAAACUGCUAUGUUUUCAUCCUCAGUAGACCUCUGUAAGAGGGAUCUGGGUGGUACAUCACCAUGUCUCACGGUCUGUCCCUUGUGUCACUUAGAUCCAUUUCUUCAUAUACGUUUAGGGAACAAUCCUUCUCCAGGAAUCCAGUUGGCUUGCCCCCCUGAGGGGAACUUAGAAGCUUAGUGGGAUAAUUAUAGCCUCCGCCAUUGCAGUUGGCAGAGUUGGGCCACGACUGAUAACUCAUUUUUUCUCUCGUUCCUUAUCUGUUCUACAUUACACUCACCCUUAGCUGCCACCCCUGCAUCUUCUGUGGCUCACUGGUGAUAAGACCCUCGCCCUCAUCCCUAAGAGCCCCUAAUCGCCAUGCCCUUUUCAGUCCAGGGUUGCUGUAUCUCCAUUUACAGUUAAAAUUGAUCCAGUGUGUACCAAGAGGUACUGAUGUAGAUCAUCUAGGCUCCACAUGUAUUCCUCUUUGUUUCCAUUGUGUAACAGCAGUCCUACCUUCACCUCAUGAUCAGGGUCAUCCGGCAAGAUGAUUCUUUUUGCUUUCUGGUCCCUGGACACGAGCCCAAAGUGCCCAGGUGGCGGCCAUAGCUUAUGCAGUAGGACCCUUGCCUUGUCUCUUGGCAGAAGUGUGUUCCUUAGAGAACCAAGACCUCAGAUGCUGCAGGGAUGUACAGUCUACUAGUGGGUCAUUGAGAGUUAUGGUAUAUGGGGGACACUGCUGCCUCCUCCCCUUGGUUCCCAGACCCAUGUAUUCUUUGAAUUGGGGACAUCUUGUUUUCAACUCAUAGCAACCCCAUGUGGCAGAGUAGAACUGCCCCGUAGGGUUUUCUUGGCUGUAAUCUUUAUGGAAGCAGGUUGCCAGGUCUUUCUUCCAUGGAACCACUAGGUGAAUUUGAAUCACCAGACUUUCAGUUAGCACUAAGCACUUAAUUGUUUGCGCCACCUGGGCUCCUGUUGAGAACAUGGCAUGAUAUGAAAGUCUAAUCCAGUGUAUGUGUUGCGUCCUGGAGGGUGCUACACAUUGUUGCAGAGUAUUGCCUCCAAGCUGGUGUUUCAGUUGUGCCUUCAGGAGGUUUUUACAGCGCUUUAGCUGCUGGAUAGUGGAAUGUCAUAUGACCAGGGGAUCCCAUGGUCAUGGAUCCACUACCGUACCUUCUUUGCUAUAAAGUGGGUACCUUGAUUUGAAUGAUAUUAUGUGAGAUUCUGUGCUGGAAGUUCUAAGACUCUCAGUAAACCCUUGGGUAGUAAUGCUGACUCAAGUCCUGUAAGUCAGAAAGGCAGACCUAUAGCUGGAAGAUGUAUCUGUUUCUGUGAGAACAAAUCGCUGACCUUCCAGGAUAGAAGGGGCCCAGUGUAGUCAACUUGUUAUCAAGUGGCUGGUUGGUCUCUUUGAGGAAUAUUGCCAAGUCGGGCUUAAUACUUGUCUCUGUUGCUGGCAUAUUGGACAUUCAUCAGCAUCUGUAACUAAAUCAGCUUUAAUAAGUGGAAGUCUGUGUUGCUGGGUCCACCUCUGCCACUGUGACCGCUUUCUUCAUGUGUCCAUCAUCCUAGCAAAGGGAUGGCUGAUGAUGGAGGCUGGCUGAUGUCAACUGGCCAGGACAGUUUGCCUCCUUGGUUGUUUAGUGCCUCUCUGGGGUGGAUGCUUUCUGUUGGAUGAUAACAUAUGGUACAAAGAUCUUCUGCACUUCACACCCAAUCCCAUAAGCCUGUGCCUCUACCUCAGACUGUCUUGUCUUGAUCCUCCAAUCUUUCAUCUUCCAGGCCGUUGAUAAUCUGACCAGAUCAUUCACCAGUGCCCAUGAGUCCGUAGAUAGUCUAACUGUGGGCCAUUUCUCUUUCCAAAAACAAAGCUGAUGUACUGCUUAAAGCCAUGCCCUUUGGGAAGAUUUUCCCUCACCACUAUCUUUUAUGACCACCCCGAGUAAGGCUGUAAUGCAGCUGCCAUGCAUUUUUGGCUUGCAUCCACAUACCAAGGUGACCUGUCUGUAAACCAAGCCUGGGCUUUUUACUUCUCUUCUACUCGGUCAUACGGGGUCCCCCAUAAAACCAUAUGCAAGAGCUGUGGGAGGGAUGAUGGAACAACUAUGGUGGGUGCCAUGGGGUCUGAGGCUACCUGCUCAUACAGGCUGCUUGUAUCCUUUAGUUCUGCUUGUGGCCAGUCCAGGAUGUACUGCUUCAGUCUUAUAACAAUCAGUCUUAUAAUCGAUUGUUCCUGGGCCUGCCCAACCUGAGAACUUAGUGAGUCUCACAGAACCCAAAGAGGUGUACCAGGCAUUGUGCUUCUUCCUCUGUGAUAGGAAGUACCAAAUGCAAUAAUUAUGUUUUACUUUGGAUGGGUGUCAAGAACUGCAAAGGGUGUGAGAUUUUUGCCCAGCUUGCAAGCUAACAAGUUAGCCUGACACAGUUUCAUGGGUGCUGACAGAAGACAUAGACUGAGUCAGAGACUAAAGAUUUUAUUAUUCACAGUGAAAGUAGUAGACCAAGUAUCAGCAUGGUCUCAUCGGUUCCCUGAACCCCCAAUUCCCACAGGGGCGAUACAAGUGGGCCGAGUGGACGCCUGCACAUGCAGCGGGUUACAUUACAAAAGAGGAACACGGAGCUUGGGGAACUGCAGCCUAUAAUCAAGCCCGUUCUCUAUUUGCGAGGAGAUGUUACUUCAUCCCUCAAGAUUGCUCACUCAAACACAACCUUGAGAAAUGUCCCAGAUAAAGAGCAAUCAAAGCCAUGCAUUCUUGGCAUACCCAGGAAGAUGUGUGGGAGUGCAAGACAUCCAUGGAGAACUGUCUCUCAGCAAUGACAUGUCUUAGCAUGCCCCUGGAUCCUUAAACAUUUUAUGGAUGUGGAAGACAUGGCAUCUGUCUUACAAAGGCAUCCAGCGACUUGGCUACCUCUUGCUUAUCAGGGCUACCUACCUAGUUGAGUUAGUGGUAGUCUGCAGUACUCUUCCAGGAUCAUCUGGUUUCUGCAGGAGUCAGACUGGUAAAUUAAACAGAUAUAAUGGGAAUCACCACCCCUGCAUCCUUUAGAUCCUUAUGAGCAACACUAGUCCCUGCCAUUCUCCUGGGAUGUGAUAUUGUUUUUGAUUUGCUAUCUUGGCUGGGGAUGUGGGGGUGGAGCAGGGUUAGGAUGGUAUCAGAUACUUCCACUUGACCUUCCCCACUGUAGUAAAUCUUACCAAGCAGACCAGGUAAGCACCACCUAAUAUGGUGGUCGUGCCAACUGCCAAGUCAGUCUCAAUAAUGCGCUACUGACUUGAUGACACUGGGUUUCACUGGGUUUAGGUAGAUCUGCAGACCAGUGGACCCACUGUAAACCUGACCUUGGCCAGGACUCCAUUUAUUACCUGGCUUCCAUGUGCUCCUACUCUUUACAGGGGGAGUAGGGCAUGAUGAAGCUUCAAGUCCUGAGAGUCAUUGUCACCUCAGACAGGUAACUUUCUGUAGCUGAGACUGACCCCGAAUGAAUGGUGUACUGAUUGAACUCCCCACAGCUGGGUAGUAAGGCCUUCCUGAAGGAGAUCUGAGGGGCCCAUCUCAGUGUCUACCAACUCCUCCCUAGCUGUGAUACUAAUAUUGUAUGACUAGGUUCCGGAAUGCUGAUAUUAAUGCCCCCGCCGUUAAUGUUUUUUGUACAACUUUUUCAUAUGGUUGUACCAACUGUUGUGUCAUAUGAUGGAUGAAUAUGAACUGAUGUUAAACUGCUGUGUUAUUUAUCAUCAACAGACUUACGUAAGCACAGUGGUGGUGGUGUUAGGGGCUGUCAAGUUUUCUGACUCAUAGUAACCCUAUGUACAACAGAACGAACUGCCUGGUCCUGUACCAUCCUCACAAUUUUUAUGCUCGAGCCCACUGUGUCAGUCCAUUGUGUUGAGAGUCUUCCUCGCUUUCGCUGAUCCUCUACCUUACCAAGCGUGAUGUCCUUUUCCAGGGACUGUUCCCUCCUGAUAACAUGUCCAAAGUAUGUGAGACAAAGUCUCACCAUUCUUGCUUGUAGGCUGUAGGAAUACAGAGAGCCCUUGUUCUUAGGGAUUUAUGGUCAAGUUGGAGGUUUAGAACACACUGUAUAUGAAAAUAAACAAGGGACUAUAGGCUAAGGAAGCAGGUUCUGGAGUCACAUUACUUGCGUUUGAGCCCUAGAUGGGUCUCCCAUUUACUAUCUGUGUACCUUUGGGCAAAGUUAUUUAGUUUUCUCCUUUGUAAUAUUGGGAUAAUAAUAAUGAGGUAAUAGCACAGUGACUACCAUAUGGUAAUCAUUCUGUAAAUGCUAGCUGCUCAUUUAUUAUUAUUACAGUAGUAAUAUGUACCAAGUGAAUAUUGUGGGUAGUGAGUCUUACAGGAACAGUAAGGAAGGCUUCAUGGAGGAGGCAAGCUCUGCAGUUAUCCUUUGUAUGAAUAUUGCAUUCCCUUUUAAGGUUUUUUUUUUUUUUAAGGUUAAGCAUCAAAAGAAAUGGAAUAUUGAUAGAAUGGAGUUUUUAAGAUUUUUGUCUCCAUUUGCAUGCAGCUAUUUUCCAUUUCCAUGUCCCAGAAGAUAAAAGGAUUCCUGUUAAUGGUGAUGGUAAAAAAAAAAAAAAAAAAAACACAGUAAUGAGACCUCCUCUGAGGAGUUCAGAGCACAGUCUGCUUAUUCUUUCCUUUUCCUUUUUUCUCAUCAGUUCUGAUUCAGAUAAAAUCGUGUCUUCUAUUAAUAUGUAUAUUUCCUGCUCUGUGUGUGUGUGUGUGUGUGUGUGUAAUGCCUCUGUAUAUACACAUACGCACUUAAACACAUAAACGCUUAACAUACAUGAGAGGAAAUUACAUUUUCUUUUCCAAUAAUGUUAUGAGAAUUGCGCAAUGAAGGAUAGAUAAUAAAAUACCAUAACAGAGGUUACCGAAUGAACUUAUAAAGCUCUACUAACAGGCAUUUUUGGUAAAUGUCUUGGCUAAUAAUAAUUAAUGAUUCCAAGACACUGAAAGAUCUGAGUUCCUUCCUGAACCUUCAAAGAAAAAUUAAAUUACAUUUUAUGUAUUUUGUGUUAAGUGUGUUUUAUCAUAUUUUAAUUUUGACAGUUAUUAAUUCAUGAAUGGUAAAUAUGUUGCCUUAAAGCAGGAAAUUAGAUUACGAGUACUCCGGCUCUAUGAGAGGACAGAUAGUAUACACUGCUCAGUGAAGAUUUGCCCGUUACUCUUAAAUUGAGUUUGAUUCAUAUCUUUCCUAAGCGUAGGCAGGGUAAUUGCUGAAGGUGUUUUGAUUGCUUCUAAUAGUAGGUUACAAAAUAGACUACUUUGAAUUUUUGCAGCAACUAAUGACAUUAGGGUGUUCCUAUCUGUUUUCCAAGGAAGUCCUGGUAGUGUUAGAUAAUGUAAAAAUAACACCUCUGCCUUAAAAUUCAAGUUCUGAAUGGUUGUAUCUGAGGGUAUUUCUCAGCAGGUAUAGAGUUAGGUCUCUAUUGGCCCCUGUAUUUUUUUAAAUGCAGCUGUACUUUAACAUAGCAAGCUUCUCUUGUUUUGUAUGGCUGCCUUAAAGAUAUUUUGGUACAAGUAGCAGCUAUGAGAAACUGUCAAAAAUUGUCUUUGAAGGGAAAGCAGACUCUUCUUUUUGUGCUUCUGGUUAUGGUUCAAACAAUGGGACUUGCUUCACUCGGUUCUUUAGCACACCCCCAAAUUUCUCAUUGUUCUUUGUCCUGGUAAUGACAACUGUGCUGAUUAAUGAAUUGACCACAAAUGUUUAUAGAUUUUCCACGUCAUAUAUGAUUAGUGUGCAGUGUCACGUGCCCUUGACUAUGAGGAGUUUACAAUCCAGUUGAAGAAUGAAAUUAUAUUCACUGGCAAGUAAGAGAAUAUCAGUGUCUGGAGAUUUGUAUAAGACAGCCUGUCAUGAAAUUAUUGUGAGCCAAAGUCCUCUGGGAGGUAAGAUUUGGCCAGAUCUACUGCACAAUGGAAAUCCUAGACCUGGUCAGAAUACAGAAUCGUGAGGCAAGACUGGCUUUCAGGCUACAGAGCAUGGAGUUGAGGGUGAACUAAGGGGCCACGUCAUCCUGGGGUGACACUAAAAUCAGUGACAGAGUACACUGUACAACCAAGACCCUGAUCCAAAAGGACUAGGGCAAUGAUUCUGAACCUUGUUUUAAUCAUAGAUACCCCACUUUGGGAAAUUUUUGUGGUACUCAAUAAAUGUUUGUGGAAUGAUUGUUGAGUGAAUAUGCUAUUUCAGGCACUAGGGAUUUGGGAAUGCAUAAUAAGGUAAGAUCCUGGCUGUCAUGGAGAUUAUAGUCAUGUGAACAUAUACACCUCAUAAUAGCUCAUACAAUUUCAGGACCCUAGAUCAAGAACCUCCAGGUUGAUCAGAGAUAGGGAAUCCAGGUAGAGGCCCUUGGACAAAACAAAGGAUGCCAUCCAUCACAGCAUGAAGUUUCUGGAGGGGGCGACUCCUUGGAGUUGUUUUUUGUCUGUAGGCUCAGCCAUAGGAAAAGAAAGCAGUGUUAAAGGCCCUAACCCUUUGCAAGACAAGAUUGAAACUGGACUUUGAAGGAAGUAGAGACUUUGUGUAAACAAAAUAGGUGUGAGGAGGAAGUGUUGGGUGGUCCAGGGAAUGGACAGCCUAAGGGUGAUCAAAGGUAAGACUAGUUCUGUGUGGUUUGGAAAGGUAGUGAACAGCCUGCUAUAUGUGUAGGCAGCAUUAUGGGAGGGUGGUGGUAAGGGCUUGCCUGAAUUUGGAAUGCCUUGGUUGCUAGCUGAGGUUAGACUACCAGUUCAGUGAAUAUGCAGGUGAAUGAAUAUAUUGCUUCAUAAUGGCUUGUGUUAGAUACAACUAUUGUGCUGUAGUAGGUUAUAGGUGAAUUGAUACAAUCUCUGGGAUUUGUUUUAAGAGCCCUGGUGGUACAAUGGUUAAACUGCUCAGCUGCUACCCAAAAGGCUAGCGGUUUGAACCACUGGCCACUCUGCAGAGCAAAGAUGUGACAGUCUGCUUCUGUAAAGAUUUACAGCCUUAGAACUCUUAUGGGACAGUUCUGCGCUGUCCUAUAGGAUUGCUAUGAGUUGGAAUCCACUCGACAGCAGUGGGUUUUAUUUUAAAAACUGUGUAAAAAGCAGAAUAGGAAAAUAUGGAUAAUUGUUAGAGUUCCCUGACAUGGGGAUUUAUUCUGUGGUUCUCCUUACUUUUGGGUAUGUUGAACAUUUCCAUAAUAAAAAAUUAAAAACAAUGCAGCUAUCUUACCUACAAAGGGGUAAUAUCAGACUGUGACUAGCAGGCACAGAACCCACUGCUGGGCCUAUUAAGACACAUUUUGAUGGUUUGAAAGGUCAGGAAAUCUUGGGCUCGUGCUGCUGUACGAAGAGGGAAGUUUGGGACAAAAUAAUAGAAACAGACCAAUUUCCUUGCUUUAUUGUUUUGCUGAGAGGAAGCUCAGUCUUAGUGAAAUCUGAAAAGUGGAAUAUUUUCAAAGUGUUAUGAGUUCUUUUUUAGUAUACAUCAGCCACUUACAUAAUUGCUGUAAGCCUUAGUUUCUUUAUCUACAAAAUGGGGAUAAUGAUACAUACACCUUAUAGUUGUUAUGAAGGUUAAAUGAAAUAAUGAAAAAAUUUUUAAAAUCUAGCUAGCCCCGUUUGCUCCCCAAGCUUCUGAAUAUCCUCAUUCAGAACGAGGCUUGCAAAGUAAGUGGUUUCUUUAAUGGACAAGUAACAGUGGAUACUUCAGUCACUAUUCCUGGGUAAAUAAGCAUACCUGAGGGGCUAGCAAAGAAUAUCUUCUCAAUAUCUACACUGUCAUUUUUUUUUUUUUAAUUAAAAAGUAUGAGUAACCACUAUGCUAGAGAGAAUUGUGAAAAAGGAAAAAGAGCACAUAAUUUUUAUCUCUCUGAUAUCAUGAUUUUUGUUUUACUUUUUUGCUACCUUAUUUACAGAAAUAAUUUUCCUAGCUCAUUUUUUGAAAUGCUGUGAACCUAAAAGUCAACUAACCCAGACCAUGUCUUAAUGGACACAAACUGUUAACUUUUCAGACAAUUUUCUUUUUCUUUUUGGCACCUCAGGUUGUGCUCCCACUAUGUGACCGGCAGGCCCAAGGAAGGGGUAGUCACUUACAUACAACUAGUACUUGAACCAUAUUUAAACUUCAGUGUCCUGACUCCUAGAUGUGACUGCUCUUCCCACUACCUCAGUAGAAUUCAGAUUAAUGAGAAUUUCUGAUACUCAUCCCAGUAGGGAGGGGACCAGUUUCACACAUAAUUCUUCAUGACUGCCCAUAGCAUUUUAAUUGUGUCAAAAUACUGCCUUUCUGACAGUUGGGAUGAUGUAAACAGAAAGCAAGAGUAGAUAGAAAAUUGAGUAAAUUUGCAAGAAAAUAAGAAUGCCUUUGAAAUACCUAAAAAGACCAACUUAAUAUCACCAGGAAAACAUUUUGAUCUCUUGCAUUGUCAGGUAUGAUAUUUUAGUGAUAUCUCUAAGACAGAACCUGUUUAGAUUUUCCGAAUUUAAUGCAGCCUGGGAAAGAGCUCAAGAUCCUGCCUCCCCACAUUCCCACCUAUCACCCUUCCCCCAUUGAGGAAAUUAUCGGGCUAGUUUAGGGACUUGAUUUUCCAUUACAUUAGACCUCUGACUGACUGUUGCUCAUUCCCACGUCUUUCUGCUCAUUCUCACCUACAUGCCUUUGCUUAUUCCCUGUUUCAAAAAACUGAUUGAAUGUUUGGUCUCUGUGUCAGGCCUCUGGUUCUCAACAGUGACUGUGACGCUUUUUAUAAAAUACAGAUGCUCUGGAGGCUUGUAUGUUAGAUGGCAGAGUUACUUUGGAAUCUCCCCACUCAUAUAGUUAAUUGAAAGAAGCAAAGAGACUUUAAAGCCAGGAAAGAGGCACUGGCAUCAGUCAGUCAAAGGAAAGGACUUAACUUCUUUGAAAACUGGUGACCAGGGAAAGUAUUAUGGAAGAUUACAAGACUCAUUACCUCAAAUUUUUUCCACAUCAUUCAUUCAGUACUAGGAGAUAGCAAAGCAGUAACAUGAAAUUUUGAGAGAAAAUUUGACCCAAGAAUUUUAUACUCAGCCAGGUUUAAAGUUUAAAGACAGUAGUGUUCUUAAAAAACAAAAAAAGGCAUGAACUCAAGUAAUAGAGAACACAUGGGCCUGUCUUUAAAAAAAACCCACCGAAUGACAAAAUCCAGUGAAUCAAGGGAUCAACUAAGUCCAUUCAUUCAUUCAGUAAAUAUUGACUGCCUGUUAUGCCAACCCCCCCUCCAGGCACCAGGGAUAUAACAGUUCAUUAGCAUACAUUGUACUGGAUAAUGGAAGAGCCAUUGGUCUGCUUAAAUAUGCAGUGAAGGCCAAAUAAUUGUCACGAAUAAGAUUUCAAGAAGCAAAUACAGUAAGAUACGAGAAUAUAAAAAUAUCCGCAGAGCAAAUAGAAUUAGGAGUUUGGGUGGAUGAAUUUUCUCAUUUGGGUGCCAGAAAUAUUAUCUGAACAUCAAGAAGUAGAAGUUUAUUAUAUAAAAUUAGAAAGGAAACCACUAGCAGCUUAAAAAACACAAUACAACCCCUCAAGACAACAAAAAAAGACUGUAUUGCAAAAGGUUAAAAACAAAGGAAAUUACUAGCUAAAAACAUAAAAUAAGAUGACCAAAUAUAGGUCCAAAUCCCAAAACCCAUUGCUGUCUAGUCAGUUCUGACUCAUAGCAACCCUAUAGGACAGAGCUGCCCCAUAGGGUUUCCAAGGAGCAGCUGGUGGAUUUGAACUUCUGACCUUUUUUGUUAGCAACAGAACACUUAGUCACUGCACCACCAAGGCCCCAAAAUUUAGACCAGACAUCCGUAAUAUCAGUAAAUGUAUUACAAAAAAAGGACUCAUAUCUGUCCAACAAACAAGACCUAAGUAUGUACAACAUACGAGGGAUAUUGAACAAAGACAGAUUCAGCAUUUCUAAUUUAAAGAAAACUAGGUUUGUAAUAGAAAUACUAGAUAAGGUUGAGUUCAAAGCUUAUGGUGUAAAUGGCUCCAGAGGGAAACUUUCUAGUGAUAAAGAGUGUAUAGUCCGCAGUAAGGCCAUAACAGUUAAACAUGGGGCCCAAAUACAGACCAUGUAAAUAACACAAGUGCCAGAGAAAUGGACAGAAACCUUGCGGUAGGAGACCAUGACUCUCCUUAGGAGCCUGCAACAGAUCAAGGAGACAGAAAAACAAGCAACCAUGUAGAAGAAGUUUUAAAUAAUAUCUCCUUCUUAUUCUAGUUUUUCAGCUGUAAUGUCACUGCCUCAGAGAGGCCCUCUCUAACCAACAAAUCUAAAAUAGCUUUCCUAGACACUACCACCUUUUAGUUUCUUUUGUAGUACUUAUCACUGUCUGCUAUUUUAUGUACUCAUUAUCUUGGUUUUUGGUGACUUGACCAAAAUCUUUGUGAGAGAGGGACUCUGUCUCAUUCACUGCUAUAGCCCCGAUGCCUAGAACAUGGCCUGGCAAACCUGUCAUUCUAUAUUAACACAUAUCUACUAAGUGUGUGCUAUAUGUCAAGCACUGUUCUAGGAGUUUGGAAUGCUUCAGUGAACAAAACAGACCCCUGCCCUUGUGCUUAGAUCUAGCAGAGAGGGUAUGGGUGACGUUGUUGUUAGGUGCCGUCUAGUUAAUUUUCGACUCUUUAGCAACCCCAUGCGACAAAGUAGAACUGCCCCAUAGGGUUUUCCAGGCUGUAAUUUUUAUAGGAGCAGAUCUCCAGGUCUUUUCUCCCACAGAGCUGCUGGGUGGGUUCAAACUGCCAGCCUUUUGGUUAGCAGUCAAGUGCUUAACCAUUGAACCACCAGGGCGUCUGUGGAUAACAAUAAACAUGAUUUAAAAAAACCACCGCACCACCAGGGCUCUGUAUAGAAUGUUAGAAGGUGAUUAGUGCUUCGGGGGAAAAAGUAGUGCAGGGUAGGGAGAGCUGGGCUUGGGGUAGGUGGGAUGCAGUUUAAAGGAUGGUCAGGGGAGACUUCAUUGAGGUGGUAGCAUUUGAGCAAAUGUGAGGAAACUGUUAGCCAGGUAGGUCUCCAGGGCUAUGGCUCGUAAAGUGUUCUAGACAUAAGGAAUGCAGAAGAAUGGGGAGCAAUGGACUAUGAGCUUGUAAAGACGACUGGGGGUCUUGAACACUGUGUGACAGUGUUUGAACUUAUCCUUGAGAGUAAAGGUAAAAAAAAUUGACACAGGUAAAGCACAGUUGAGUCAGUUGGAGCAGCACGAGGAAUUUAACCUGAUAUGUGACCUUGAUCCAAGUUACUGAUCAUGGGCAGUUUUGCCUUGAUGUAAUAUAAAUAAUAGUUCUUGUUUUAUAAAUUGUUUUGAGGGAUAUAAUGUGUGCUAAUUUUAAUUAUUAAAAUGUCUUUUUAGAACAUUUAUUAGCACGAGUGAAUUCAGUUAUUUCAAAUAUAGAAGCAAAAAUAUUGUGUGGAAUGAAAACAUGAUAUAAUUAGACUAUUAAUGAAAGCACAUACCUCUGCGUGAUUGAAAAUCAAAGCUUAACAGUCUCAAAAGGAUGGUGCUAAAUAUUUACAUAUCUGUCUGAGAUACAUAUUUUUAGAUGCUAAAAAUAUUCAUUGUUAAUGACUGAAAGGGACAUCUACGUUUAAUGUAGUAAUAAACUUCCAUGUAUCUGUCUUGCACCAAAGUCAUAGCCAGUUUUGUCAAGUAUUACCGGCAGCCUUUGAGAUAGGAACAACUGCUGAAAAAAAGAAGAAUUUCCCCAAACAAUUAACAGUACCUGUUUUUUAUUUAGUGAGGAAAAAAUUUGCAAAGUGACUAAGAAAUGAGAAAGUUUGCAUGGCAGAUUGGCUGUUUUUCUUUAAGGUUUACAUAAAUGUCUUAAAAAUUUCCUCCUUAUGUGAUAUUCUGGGACAUUGAGACUCUGAGUGAGUUAUAUCAAAGUACAAUAUCAGGAGCCAUGUAAACCAAAAACCAAACCCACUGCCGUUGAGUCGGUUCCGACUCAUAGUGACCUUAUAGAACAGAGUAGACCUGCCCCAAAAGGUUUCCAAGGAGCGCCUGGUGGAUUCAAACUGCUCACCUUUAGGUUAGCAGCCGUAGCACUUAACCACUAUGCCACCAGGGUUUCCAGGAGCCAUGCAGUAAGGAAAAAUCCAUACUAGCUUUUCUUGCUUUAAAGAUCUACCUUAUGUGACUCCUUUAAAAACUCAGUUUCCUCGUCUGUAAAAUGGGGAUAAAAAUAAAACCACCUCAUACAGUUGUUACAAGUGUAAAGUGAGAGAAAGUAUGGAAAGCCAUUAGUAUUAUGCCAGGUGAUGCUCACUAGUUAUAUUAGACAGCUCUAAGUGUCAUAAGUCAAAGUGUGGUCUGUGAAUCAGCAGUACGAUCACCUAGGAGCUUGCUAGAAAUGAAGAAUCUCCAACCUCAUCCUAGCUUUACCAAAUGAGAAUCUUCGUUUUAACAAAAUCCCAAAGUGAUUAAGGUGCACAUUGCAGUUGGAGAAACAUUGGCUUAGAGCCAAAACCUGUUGCUCUCGAGUGGAUGCUGGCUUACAGUGACCUAGUAGGACAGAAUAGAGCUGCCUCAUAGGGUUUCCAAGGCUGUAGUUUUUAUGGAAGCAGACUUUGUGCCAUGGAGCAGCUGGUAGGUUUGAAUCACUGACCUUUCAAUUAGCAGCCAAGCGCCUAACCACUGCAUCACCAGGACUUCUUUGACCUAGAGCACUGGCUGGCAAUCCAGAGCCCACUGGCCCACUGUCUGUUUUUAUAAAUAAAGUUUUAUUUGAACACAGUCACACCCAUCCAUUUUUAUAUUUUCUUUGGCUGUUUUUGUGCUACAGUAGCAGAGAGAUGAGUAGUUUCGAUGAAGAUCAUAUGGCCCGCAAAGCCUAAAAUACCAUCUGUCCCGUUAAGGAAAAGUUUGCCAAGAGGUCUGGCUUUCAGACAGAUUACCUGGGUUUAAAGUUUACCUCUGUUUCUAGUGGCUGUGGCACCAAGUUACUUAUAACCUGUUUCCCCAUCCGUAAAAUGGUGAAAAUGGUAUUUACUUCAUGGGUUAUUGUGAUCAUUUAAAUAAGAUAAUACAUGUUGAAUCAGUUAUCUUCUGCUCCAUAAUAAAUCAUGCCAAAACCCAGUGACUUGAAACAACAAACAUUUACUCAUGAUUCUGCAAUCUGGGCUGGAUGUAGCUGGGCAGUUCUUCUGCUGGUCCUGCCAGUGGUGACUUAUGGAGCUACAUUCAGCUGGUUGGUUGAUUGGGGGCAGGCUUACCUGGAAUCCACUUUCCAAGUAGUCUUUCCCUCUCUAUGUGGCCUCACCACAUGAACUCUCCUGCAGAGUAGCUGAACUGCGUAUAUGGCAGUUUAGGGCUAUGUGCAAAAGUGAAAGGUGCCAAACUUUCUUAAGGCCAGGCCCAGAACUGGUACAGUGUCAACUCUGCCACAUUUUAUUGGUUAAAGCAAGGCAAAAGAUCAUCCCAGACUCCAGGGGAGGGGACUACACGAGGGUGUAAAUACUGGGAGGUAUGUUCUGUUGGGGGCCAUCAGCGUAACAGACUACACACAUGUAAGAUCAUAAGUGUGCAGUAAACCGUAACUGCUGCUACUGUUAAGGGACGUGGGGCAAGGUGUAGUUAAGUGCCUUUCCCCAGAUGCUUGCCUCCUCAAAAUAAAAUCAUCAAAUUUAGUUGGAAAUCUGAAGGCACGUUGUUGUUAGAAACCAAAAACAAAAAAACCCGUUGCUGUGGAGUCUGUUGCAACUCUGCACACUUUUAGCCAUUGCACCGCCAGUGCUCCUUAUUAGUUGUUAGAAAAAAAAGAUGGUGUUAAUUCCUUGCCCACAAUGUGUCCUUCCUCCUCUUGCUGCCUUUGGGUGGAAGUCUAAUGACUCUGGCCUUGCACAGCUGACCACGCUCCUCCUUCCUCCUUUCUUACCUUUGUGAUUGUGUCAGCGUGGUAAAUCGCCUUCCUGCUACUAUGGAUGCAAAUCAGUGAUAACGACUGGGUUGUAAAUUACAUGAGCCCCUCAUGAUCCUCCUCCUGGGUUAGUUGACCAAGGAAGAAUUACGCAGUUUGGGUCAGUUAUUGUUUCUCAUGAAUGGCCGCACACUACAGUAAAUAAACUGAGGGAGAUAGGAAUUUUGAACAGUCUAUAUUUUCGUACAUGUUUAACUUCCCAUCGUUAUCAGAGAUCAUAUUUUAAAUUUCAUUUCAACAUACAGGCCCAGACUCCAUGGAGCUUUACGUAUGUCUUAUGCCAGUUUUGAGGGAAAACGUCUUUAGCCAUCACCCUGUGCAAAAAUCAGAAGUAUGUGAUUUGUUGUAAUGUAGCCAAGAUAAAUAAUGGUUUUCCUUAAAACUUGCAACAAUUGCUGUGAAUGAACAAAUGUUUAUACAAGGUGUGAAAUUAAGUUUCACAUAGUCACAAAAUGUGAGUCCUAGCCAACACUCUAAAAUAAUGUUUAUAUUUUGGUUAACAAUUUCAGUGGUGUUUCUUUGUUGCAAUUAGGAGUCCUGCUGCUUCAAGAAAUGAUACCCUCAUCCAAAUUGAGCUCUUGAUAAAGCAAGCUAGGGUGAUUUCUGAUUAAAAAAAAGAAAAACAACUGGGGUUUAAUCCUUGAUUUUAAAAUUUGCAAAUUCUUAGAAAUACACUAUGAUCCAGCAAUCCCACUCCUAGGUAUAUACAGGUAUACCUUGUUUUACUGUGCAUCAUUAAAAUUUACUGUACUUUGCAGAUACUGCAUUUUUUUUUUUUAAAAAAAAAACAAAUUGAAGGUUUACAGCAACCCUGCAUCAAGCAGGUCUCUUAGUGUCAUUUUUCCAACAGCAUGUGCUUGCUUCAUGUCUCUAUGUUGUAUUUUGGUAAUUCUCGAAAUAUUUCAGUAUUUUUCAUUAUUAUAUCGUUGUGCUGAUCAGUGAUCUUUGAUGUUACUGUUAGAAUUGUUUUGGGGCACCAUGAACUGUGCUCAUAUAAGACGCUGAGCUUAAUUGAUAAAUGUUUGCAUUCUGACUGCUCUACUGACCAGCCAUUCCCCCAUCUCUCUCCCUCUUCUCGGGCUUCCCUAUUCCCUGAAACACAACAAUUUUGAAAUUAAGCCAAUUAAUAACCCUACAAUGUUCAAGUGAAGGGAGGAGCCACACAUCUCUCACUUUAAAUCAGAAGUUAGCAAUGAUUAGACUUAGUGAGGAAGGCACAUCAAAAGCAGAGAGAGACUGAAAGCUAGACCUCUUGCACCAAACAGUUAGCCAAGUUGUGAAUGCAAAGGAAAAGUUCUUGAAGGAAAUUAAAAGUGCUACUUUGGUGAACACAUGAACGAUAAGAAAGCGAAACAGCCUUAUUGCUGAUAAGGAGAAAGCUUUAGUGGUCUGGAUAGAAGCUCAAACCAGCCACAACAUUCCUGUAAGCCAAAGCCUAAUCCAGAGCAAGGCCCUAAUUCUCUUCAGUUCUAUGAAGGCCGAAAGAGGUGAGCAAACUGCAGAAGAAAAUGUUUGAAGGUAGCAGAGGCUGGUUCAUGAGAUUUAAGGAAAGAAGCCACGUCCAUAACGUAAAAGUGCAAGGUGAGGCAGCGUGUGCCUAUGUAGAUGCUGCAGCAAGUUACCCAGAAGAUCUGGCUAAGGUAAUUGAUGAAGGUGGCUACACUAAACAACAGAUUUUCAAUGUAGAUGAAACAGUCAUAUAUUGGAAGAAGAUACCAUUUAGGACUUUGAUAGCUAGAGAGGAGAAGUCAAUGCCUGGCUUCAAAGGUCAGGCUGACUCUCUCGUUAGGGGUAAUGUAGCUGGUGACUUUUAAGUUGAAUCCAGUGCUCAUUUACGAUUCUGAAAAUCCUAGCACCUCUAAGAAUUAUGCUAAAUCUAUUCUGGCUAUGCUCUAUAAAUGGAACAACAAAACCUGGAUGACAUCACAUCUGUUUACAACAUGGUUUACUGAAUAUUUUAAGCCCAGUGUUGAGACCUACUGCUCAGAAAAAAAGAUUCCUUUUAAAAUAUUACUGCUCAUUGACAAUGCACCUAGUCACCCAAGAACUCUGAUGGAGAUGUGCAAGGAGAUUAAUGUUGUUUUCAUGACUGCUAUCACAACAUCUGUUCUGCAGCCCACAGAUCAAAAAGUAAGUUUGACUUUUAAGUCUUGUUUAAAAAAUGCAUUUCCUCAUUAGUCUAUAGCUGCCAUACAUAGUGAUUCCUAUGUAUACCAUUCUAGAUGCCAUUAAGAACAUUCAUGAUUCAUGGGAGGAGGUCAAAAUAUCAACAUUAACAGGAGUUUGGAAGAAGUUGAUUCCAACCUUCAUGGAUGACUUUGAGGGGUUCAAGACUUCAGCAAGGAAGUAACUACAGAUGUGGUGGAAAUAGCAAGAGAACUAGAAUUAGAAGUGGAGCCUGAAGAUGUGACUGAAUUGCUGCAAUCUCAGGAUAAAGCUUUAAGGGAAAUUGCCACAGCCAUCCCACACUUCAGCAACUACCACCGUGAUCAGUCAGCAGCCAUCAGCAUCAAGGCAAGACCCUCCAGCAGCAGAAAGAUUACAACUCACUGAAGGCUCAGAUGAUGGUUAGCAUUCUUUAGCAACAAAGUAUUUUUUAAUCAAGGUAUGUACAUUUUUUCUUUAGACAUAAUGCUAUUGCACACUUAAUAGACUACAGUAUAGUGUAAACAUAGCUUUUAUGUGUACCGGGAAACCAGAAAAUUCAUGUAACUGGCUUUAUUCCAAUUUUCACUUUAUUGUGGUGUUCUCAAGCCAAAUCUGCAGUGUCUCUGAGGUAUGCCUGUGCCCUAAAGAACUAAAACUACUGACACGAACAGACAUAUGCACACCUGUGUUCCUUGCAGCAUUGUUCACAGUAGCAAAAAGAUAAAAACCUAUGUGCCUAUCAGCAGGUGAAUGGAUAAAUAAACUGUGGUACAUAUACACUCAAUGGAAUACUAUGCAGUCAUGAAGAAUAAUGAUGAGUUCUCAAAAUACUUUAUAACAUGGAUGAAUCUGAAGGGUAUUACGCUGAGUGAAAUAAGUCAGUCACAAAAGGACAAAUACCGUGUGAUCUACUAUUAUUAUCUACUAUUACCAGGAAUGGGAGGAGGGAUCACUUUCUAGGUAGUAGACACUUGUUAGUUUUGGUGAUGGGUAAGGCAUUAUUCAAUAAGAGUCAAGUCAGUAUAGCUUGAUCAAGAUAAAUGAUGACGGUAAGAAGUAUAUAAGAAUAAUGGAUGAUUUUGGUAAAAGUCAAAACAUAUACAAUUUGCAACAACAGUAAUAACAACCAAAAAAUAUGUGAGUGGUUACAUAAGUAGGUAUCUAUGUUUAUAUAUGUAGAGGUAAGCACAUAUGAAUAUAUUGUAUGCAUGUAUAGAUGUUUCUGUAGGCAAAUAUAUAUAUAUAUAUAUACAUGUUUGCGCUGCAUAUAUAUUCAUAUAUAAAAGAAAGCACAUGGGGACAAGUUAUGGAUACUUCCAGGUAUAACCAGACUCUUCGUGGUAUUGGUUACUGGGUUUUGAGGGUUUAGGACCAUAGUCUCAGGGAUCCACUCAGUCAGUUGGCAUAACAUAGCUCACAAAGAUAAUGUUCUACAUCCCAGUUUGGUGGUAGUGUCAGGGGUCUUAAAAGUUUGUGAGCGGCUAUCUAAAAAGAUACAGCUAUUGAUUUCUCUGUGUCUGGAGCAAAAGAGAAAGAAGAAAACCCACCCUGAGACUAGAAGAACUAGAUGGUGCUCAGCUACCACUACCAACCAUUCCAAGCAGGGAAACAACAGAUAGAAUGGGAGAAAAAUGUAGACCAUAACUCAAAUUUCUAAAGAAGGCCAGACUAACUGGACCAGUAGAGAAUAGUGGAGCCCCUGAGACUAUCACUCUGGGAUACCCUUUAAGUGUAGAACUCAAACCACUCCCAGUGGUCACCUAUUAGCCAAAGACAGAGCGGCUCAUUAAAUCAUAUCACCCAUGGAUACUGUGCUUCUCUAAACAAUCAUCUAAAUUAGACCUAAAGGUCAAUAUUUACCCUAGACCAAAGAUGAGAAGAUAAGGGGGGGACAAGGUCGGUAGAUUAAUGGAAACAGAACAAACCAAGAUGGAAAUAAUGAGAAUGCUGAUGCUGUGAAAAAUGUAACCAGUGUCACUGAAUAAUAUGUAUACCAACCAAAACCAAAUCCGCUGCCAUUGAGUUGAUUCUGCAGUAACACUAUAGGACAGGGCAGAACUCCCCCAUACAGAUUCCAAGGCUGUAAUCCUCACAGAAGCAGACUGCCACAUCUUUCUCCCUCGAAGCAGCUAGUGGAUUCAAACUGCCAACCUGUUGGUUAGCAGCCAAGCACUUUAGCCACUGCACCACCAGGUCUCUUGAAUGAUAUGUAUAGAAAUUGUUAAAUGAGAACCUAAUUUGCUAUGUAAAUUUCCUCCAAAAACACAAUAAAAUACAUUUUUUUAAAUGUGCAAAUUCUGUCAAAAAUUUUGAGUGACUGAAACUUUUCCUGCAGGGUUUUAUUUCCUAAUCUGCUCCACUGAACCCUUUCUUCCACUAAUAAGGAAUUAAAUUGUGUCUGUGCUGACUGCUGUCUACUAUGAGAAAUAUCAGAAUUCAUUGAACUAAGAAGGUUCUGCUUAGCAACAAUGAAGUAGUUAAAGCUAGACAUUCCCAUGUCUUUUUAAUUUUUUAAAUGGGACUAGGCAGGCUAAUGUUUUUAUAUAGCUUUUCUACCAAACAGUCAAAAGCUAUUUUAAAGAGAGAGUUUUCAAGUAAAGACUGAAUUCACAAAAGGAUUGAAUAUUGUGCACUUAUUUUUAAGAACUAAUUGGGAAGCAUAACCAUCUACUGUCAGAUUCUUCCCAAUAAGUGAAGAGUGAUGUAUUAUUUUGUACCCCUUACCUUUUUGCCCUAAGGUUCCAUUUGUUUUAUGGAAAGACAAGGUGCAGACACGUGAAACAGCUUGCUGUGUACGUGAGCUGGUGCCUGCCAGUCUGUUUUCAGCUCUCCUGAAUACUAGAAUCUCUCAAUCAUUGAAGCCUUGUGCUGAUUGCAGUAAUCCAUGUUUUGGGGUCAAUAUCAGGUGUGCUGUGAAUGAGAGGAAAAAUUUUGCCCAGUCCAGCAUUUGAUAUUUAAUGAACUGAGGUGGCUGGUUCCUUCCUAAAGCAGUUUAGUGCUUAGAGCUACUGCUCUUGUUAAGUGACUGCUCACUGUCUGUCCUCUCCCCUCCACCCACCUCCCUUCUUAAAGGUAAUUUUCACAAUUGUGAGCAUGUGUGUGUGUGUACACACCCUUCAAGAAACAGUGAUUUUCUUGUUAGUAAUAAAUUUGUACUUUUAGCAAUUCACAGACCAAAAGCCGUUUAAAGAAACAGUUACGGUUUGAGCUGAGGUUCUGAACUGGAUAUUUGAGAUGGUUCAUCCAGCUCUGAUUGUUCUGAAGAAUAGUGUGUCUCACUCUGCUGGAACGCCAGUGCAGUAACGCACAGAGUUACAUGUCAGGGUACAGUGCAACAGGAUGAGGGACAACCUUCUUUAUUUUUUCUUUUAAUUUUUUUUUUUUAACAUACACAGAAGUAGACAGAAUAAUGUAAUGGACUCAUGUUUUCCACAGCAACCAUCAGCCUCUCAUAUUAUUUUGAGGCAAAUCUGAAACAUCAUAUCUUAUCCAUAUAUACAUGAGUAUGUAUCACUAAAGUAUAAAGCGUAAAGAGUUUUUUCAGAAAACAUAACCACAACAUUAUCAUCCCACCUAAAAUAAAACUAGUAAUAGUUUCAUAACAUCACAUAUCCAGGCAGUGUUCAAAUUUCUAGUCAUCUUGUAGGUGUCGUGUAUAUAUAUAUAUAUUUUUUUAACUGUGUGAAUCAAGAUCUAAAUAAACCCCAUACCUUCUGAUUAAUUGGUAUGUCUUUGUCUUUUAAUAUAUAGUUUUCCCCUCCAUAGCUCUCUCUUCUUCUUUUUUCCACUCUUUCAAUUUUGUUGUUACUAAAGAAACCAGGUUGUUUUUUCCUGUUGAGUUUUCCGUAGUCUGGAUUUUGCUGAUUGCAUCCUCAUGGUUUCAUUUAACAUUUCUCUAUACUCUGUAUUUACUAUAAAUUGGUACUUGGUUCUGGAUGCUUGAUCAGAGUUAUGUUUGAUUUGCUUGUUUGUUUGGGCAAGGCUACUUCAUAGGUGGUAUUGUAUUUCUCAGGAGGCCAAAAUGUCUGGUUGUCUUCUCUUUUUGAUGAUGUUAGCAUCUAUUUAUUCUUGAUGUCUAGAUUCAUUAGAGUAUAGACUGGUGAUACAUUAACGUCAUGAUUCCUUGUUCAUCUGUUAGCUGGAAUGCUUCUAUAAAGAGAAACUUUCUCAUAUCAACUAUUUGUUUACCCAGUGCUGUAAUUUAUAUAAAACCAGUGGCUGUCGGGUCAAUUCCGACUCAUAGCGACCCUGUAAGAGGGAGUAGAACUGCCCCAUAGGGUUUCCAAGGAUCGGCUUGUGGAUUCAAACUGCCGACCUUUUGGUUAGCAGCCGAGCUCUCAACCAUUGUGCCACCAAAACCAAAACCACACUCAUUGCCGUUGAGUCAAUUCCGACUCAUAGAGACCCCAUAGGACAGAGUAGAACUGCCCCAUACAGUUACCAAGGAUCGACUGGUGGAUUUGAACUGCUGACCUUUUGGCUGGCAGCUGAGCUCUUAAUCACUGCGCCACCAGGGCUCCACUGUGCCACCAGCGCACCAUAAUUUAUAUAGGACAGGCAGAAUAAAUGCUUCAUUUAUUUACCAGAUUUCAAAAUAGAGUUGGUUCUCUAGUAUCCUUCAUUUUUUAAAUAUUUUUAAAAUUAAAUUUAAAAAUAUAUAUAUAUUUUUGUAGGAACCAUCAUUUUUGAGAUGGCUUAGGCCCUUGUCAUGGACCUAGAGAGGUCUUAUGCAGAGGGUAAGGGGUGGAGAAUCGAUGGGUGUGUUGUGUUCUAGAACCCUCACAAGAGAUCCAUACACAGUUCUCAGGGAGGUUGCAAAGGGCUUCUUCAAAGGCUAGCCAGCAUAGCAAACUAGUCCACAUUGCCUGGAGAGCUGGUCUGGGGCCGGGCUGGAUAAAUCAGGUUGCUCCAACCUUGGUUUUCAGAUGUCUGCCUUGGAUCCCUCCUGUGGAGAAUCACCAGGGGUACCUCAAAAGGGAGAAAUCUAGUGGCUUGCGUUCAAGUCCCACUCCCAAAACUGAUCAGCUACUCUAUAUUUUUGUAGAGUCUGUAAAACUGGGCCAAUAAACAACAUCAUGAUAAAUGGCAAAGAAAUUGAAGUUGUCGAGAAUUUCAUUCCUUGGAUCAAUAAUCAAUGUCCAUGGAAACAGCAGUCAAGAAAUCAAACAACGUAUUACAUUGGGCACAUCUGCUGCAAAAGACCCCUUUAAAGUGUUAAAAAGCACUGUGAUGAGUAAGGUGUGCUGUGGUAUUUUCAAUUGCCUUUUAUGCAUGCUAAGCCUGAACAGUGAAAAAGGAAGACCCAAGAGGAAUUGAUGCAUUUGAAUUGUGGUGUUGGCAAAGAAUAUUGAAUACACCAUGAACUGCCAUAAGAACAAACUAAUUUAUCUUGGAGGAGGUGCAGCCAGAAUGCUCCUUAAAAGUGAGGUUGGUGAGACUUUUUCUUACUUGCUUUGGACAUGUUUUCAGGAGGGACCAAUUGCUGGAGAAAGACAUCAUGCUUGGUGUCAUGGUUAAUGUUGUGUGUCAACUUGGCUAGGCCAUGAAUCUCAGUGGUUUGGCACAUAUUAUGUAAGCAUCCUCCAUUUUGUGAUCUGAUAUGAGCAGCCAACUAAUUGAAAGGGACAUUUCCUUGGGAGUGUGGUUUACAUCCAGUAUAUAUGGAUGUUCUCAAUCCUACAUCCAGCUCGUCAACCUUUGACCUCCGGUGCAUCAGCAUCCAGCCGCCUGGCCUGCAAAUUUUGGGAUUCACCAGCUCCCACAAUCCCAUGAGCCAGCAGCCUUCUACCUGACCUACUGUUUUUAGGUUUGUCAGCCCCUGUAACCACGUGAGUCAGGAGAAGCCUCCAGUCUGAUGACUGAACCUCGGAUUUGGGACUUGCCAGCCUCUACAACUGUGUGAGCCAUUCCCUUGAAAUAAAUUUCUCUCUAUAUAUUUAUGUAUAUGCUUCACAGGUUUUUGUCCUCUAGAGAACCUAGCCUAAGACACUUGGUAAAGGUAGAGGGUCAGUGAAAAAGAGCAAGACCCACAAUGAGAUGGAUUGACACAGUGGUUGCAACAGUGGGCCCAAACAUAGCAAUGAUUGUGAGGGUGGCAUAGGACUGGACACCAUUUUGUUCUGUUACACCUAAGGUCUUUAUUACUUGGAGCCAACACAAUAAAAACAGAAAGUUGGAGCCAACUGGACGGCACCUAACGAUAACAACAUAUGAUUCUAUUUUAAACAGAGGAUUCUGCUGUUCAAAAAAAAAAGUGAAAGCCAUCAACACCAGUCAAACCUUUAGAUAUCAGAGUUGAAACACUCCUCAGUAAUCAUCUUGACCAGCUUUUACUUGUGAGGAAACUGAGGCCCGGAAAGAUUGUCCAAGGCCACAGCGGUAUGGCAAAAUGGCAACUGGACCCCAGAUUUUCUAACUUUCAUUCGCAGUAUAGUAUUUUCAGCAAACCAGGCUCGGACCUGUUUUUCAUACUAGAGUUGCUCCUUCCCUAUUGGAAGCAGAAGUUUGGCAGCCACAUGAAUGCUCUGUUAUAGUUACUGCUCUGUGUAGGGGACUCAGUCAGAGGUUUGUUACGUGUGUAUUGUCAAGUGUUUCUGUAGAAGUAACUUUUGAAUAAGGUACCAGAAACCAUGUCUGAAAUAACAAGUGGUUUAAGGGUUAACCUUUCUGACUCACUAGCUUGGCAGGGCCAUAAAGAAUUCUGCUCAAGUUCAUCUUUGUAACUGACAUCAAAGUAGUACAGCUGCUACUAGAGUCCCAAUUAGUGCUAUUCCUGUUUAAAUGGGGCUCCUCCAAGUUGAAUCUUGAAAUAACUGUGUUGUGAUCAGGGUUUGGGAGAGCAGAAAAGGGGCAGGCCUCUUUUUGUUCUUAAAGCGUAAUGAUCUGUUUUUCAGUCUUUCCUGAUUAGAUAAUAGCAUUGCAGAUUAGAGACAGAACCAACUUUUAUUUUAUUGCUGUGCUUAUUUGUUUUUUGGUUGGAUGUCUUUUGGUAGCUAUUUCCUUAAACACUGUAAACAGUUUAUAUUUACAGAUUUUUUGAAAGCAAGUGAUGGAGCAAAUUGGUCAAAAGUUCAGCUUGUCAAGGAAGAAAAAAGACCUCGAAGAUAUUUCUUUGCUAACUUCCCUAAAUGGCUUCGUCUUUCCCCAAAGGAUUGGUUUUAAUUCAUUGGCAAGGCCUAUCAGUAAUGGAAGAUUGGACUAGUGAUAACAUUUGUUCUUCACAUUUCAUUACAGGCUUGCCUACUUCACAUUGCCAGUCAUUUUUUUUUUCCUCAACUUACUUUUAGCGGGAUCCUUCCUGUUCCUUGUAGCCUGUACACAAAAGAUACCUUCUGUAUUCUUAUUAUGCCCUAUGCUGUCUGUCUUUGUAAUUCCUAAUCCUGUAGGUUUAUAUUUCUCUUUGCUUCUCUAACCUGUGAACUCUCUGAGAGUGGAAUUAUGUCUUGUUCUUUGUCCCAUCAGCAGUUAUCACAGUAUAGGGCUGUGGUAAAUGUCAAAAAUAUAAAUGACUCUAGCCCACUGCUACCUUUUUUUUUUUUUUAAAUCAGGAAACUGAAACCCAGAGAGAUGAGGAGACUUGCUCAAACUUUAUGAAGCAGUUUGUUUAGAAGCAGAAAAUAGAUCAGAACUCAGGACUUUACCAAACUAUGCUUCCCUGAAGCCAUUGGUUUUAGUCGCCUUUCUUUUCUCUCAGUUCUCUCCUGGUGCAUGGAGCAACACUGCUCUCUUUGAUUCUGCUCACUGUCUGUUGAAGGUGUUAAAAAGCAAUGGGGUUGGCCUGAAAGAUUAAAGGAAAAGUAACAUGGUCUAGAUGGCCCAGUAACCAAAUUCUUACAUACUCUACGUAACAGAGAGAGAUGACUGUAUUUAAAAAUGAGGCCAAUUUCUCAUGUUAGGGAUAUAAUGCUAAACUGCCAUUUAUUUGGUUAUAAAAUUAGAGAUAUAUUCCUUUUAAAAAAUAUUGACUCCAAGAUAUCAAAACUUUCCUUGAGUAUUCAUAUUCAGCAAGACCUUCUCCAAAUCACAUAUUUAAAGGGAAAAACAAAAAAGAAAAGUAACCAAAACAAAUUUUACAAAUGACUGCAAAGUAAUUAAAUUUCUUUUUACGACUUUAUGUCAUAAAAGGUCAAAGUGAAAAUAGAUGAGCAUUAAACUUAAAACCAAGCAUAUUAGAUAAAAAAUUAGUUAUGUUGAACACCCACUCCCACCCAGGCUUUUACAACUGAAUAACAUGAUUCUCCCUGGUUGUUGUUGUUAGGUGCCAUCAAGUUGGUUCCGACUUACAGCAACCCUAUGUACAACAGAAGGAAACGCUGCCUGGUCCUGCACCAUCCUCACAAUUGUUACGCUUGACCCCUCUGUUGCAGCUACUGUGUCAGUCCUUCUCGUUGAGGGUCUUCCUCUUUUUCAAUGACACUCUGCUUUACCAAACAUGAUGUCCUUCUCCAGGGACUGAUCCCUCCUGAUAGCAGGUCCAAAGCAUGCAAGACAAAGUCUCACUAUCCUUGCUUCUAAGGAGCACUCUGGCUGUACUUCUAAGACAGAUUUGUUCAUUCUUUUGGCUGUCCGUGGUGUAGUCAGUAUUCUUCGCCAAAAUAGUGAUUCAAAGGUGUCAGUUCUUCGGUCUUCCUUAGUCAUUGCCCAGGUUUCACAUGCCAUAAGGAGCCUGAAAUCACCGUGGCUUGGGUCAGGUGCAUCUUAGUCUUCUAGGUGACAUCUUUGCUCUUUUUUAAAGAGGUUUUUUGCAGCAGAUUCGCCCAAUGCAAUGCAUCAUUUGAUUUCUUGACUGCUGCUUCCACAGGUGUUGAUUGUAGAUCCAAGUAAAAUGAAGUCCUUGAUGACUUCAGUCUUUUUUUUUUUUCCGUUUAUGUUGAUUAUUGAUCCAGUUGUGAGGAUUGUUUUUUUCUUUAUGUUGAGGUGUAAUCCAUACUGAAGACUGUGUAGUCUUUGAUCUUCAUCAGUAAAUGCUUCAAGUCCUCUUUACUUUCACCUGAAAGACAAAAUUCUCCCUGGUAGUCUGUAUAAUUAUUACUUGGCACCUUCUGCAUUUGUUGGUCUUGAAAAAUGCAUAUGUCCUUCUGAACUGAUGAGAGAUGGGGUGGGGGAGGGGGAGAUCUAGAAAAGCACCACCAAGAAAAUGAUUGCAAAUGCAGCAACUAGUGGUGGGACAAAUGGAGGAUGGUGUUUGGAACAUAGCAGAAGUAAUAACGAGAAAGCACCCCAUGCAAAAAGAAUGCCUAGGAGAUGAACUGGGAGGAGAAUUUACAGUAAAAGGUUAGGUGUAACCCUCUGUUGACCACAUUGUUCUUUCCCUUGCUACACUUUCAGGCAGAUGGGCAGAGGAGGCCCCAGUGUGAGUGUAAUGGACAACUGAGAGCUCACAGUCAAGACUUUCAAAUUCUGUCCUAUCUUUGUCAUUGACCUGCUCUGCAUCUUUGGGCAGGUCUCUUCUCUCUGGGCUGAGUUUUCUCAUCCUUUGAAUGAGUGCAUUAAACUAGGUAAUCUCCAGGUCCUCUUGUCACUAUAAAAAUCCCGUCUACACGGUUAGUAUAAUUACACAUCCGGAAUGUCCUAGAGUCAUUAAAAACUCAGCCCAAGUAGUAGUAGUAUAACGUGGUAAGAUGAGAUAAUCAGCACCUUGGCUCAUUAUGCCACAGGAGCCUCAGGUUGUUCCUGUUUGAUUUGUAUAUCAGUUAAGCCUCUUCCUCCACAAGUAUCAGAAACCCUAGUAUAAUUUAAAAGUAGGACAACUUAUUUGUAACAAGACAAUUUAUUAUAACAAGAAGUUCUAAGGUGGGGCAACUCUGGGAGUUGUACUAUAUUUAAUCAAAUCUAAGACACCACCAGCUGUAAGAUGUGUCCUUUUUUUAUGUUCCACUAUGAAAGAAAAAUCUGUCAAUUAAACUCCGACAUACUAUUGAUUAUAAAGCACAUCUGAUUUCAGAGAUGAUUAAAUAUGGAGGGAAAAUGUAUAUCUUAGAAUCCAGUGGAAUAUAGAAAUGCAGUAGCUCAAGGAUAUCUUCUUUUCAGACCGCUAUUCUCAGCAUGCUGGCCUUGUCUUCACAGUAGCACCCUUCAUGGUUGCAAGAUGGCUGCAACUCAUCCAGUCCUGAUGCGGUGCAGAAGACACAGGUGACUGCCUAUUCUGGUGCCUCCUAUUCAGAAAAAGGAAGCCUUUCCAGGGAGUUCCACAGCUGAUUUCCCUGCUUGUCUCAUUGGCCAGAAUGAUUAUGCUUCAUACACGUGCCCACUGGUAUCACAGUCAUUGUCAAAGGAACUGGAAGAAUAUUCCCUCAUGGGUUUAGAGUCAGACUACUCAGGAUUUACCGAGUAGUUGUGGGUAGGGUCACCUUCCCUGAGGAAUGAUACCUGUCAUAGGGCUUUAUUCACAAGGAAAUAAGUAUUAGAAAAAGGAAGCAUACUGGUAUAUAAUUUAAAAUUUUUCCAGAUGGGAAUUGCCACAGGAAGACGGUUUGUAAUUAAUGUCAUUUAUCUUCCUGCUUUGAGCGUUGAAGAGUUUGAAGUUUUACUGCUGUAUUAAAACAGUGCACUCAUCUGCUAACCGAAAGGUUGGAGGUUCAAGUCCAUCCAGAGAUACCUCAGAAUAAAGACCUGGCAGUCUACUUCCCAAAAACCAGACAUUGAAAACCCUAUGGAGUACGGUUGUACUCUGGCACACCAUGAGUCAGAAUCAACUCAGAGGCAACUUUUUUUUUUAAUGUAAAUAGUAAUUUGUACACAUUUCAAAAGAAAGGUACACAUUCAGUUUUGGGGGAAAAAAAAUCUCAUUUUUUUAAAUUUAGCCAUGGAGUUUAUUUCUAAAUGCUUGCUGAGUGAUUGUUAUGUCCCAAAGUUCUUAAAAUUCCUUUAAAGGUGAAUACUAGAUUAAUGGUGUUUGAACAUUCCUCAUCUUCCUCCCUGCAUACAUUGAGGCCUCCUCUUAUAAUGUUUGUUAUGUUUUGCAACAAAGUAGAUGUUCUCCAUGUUUUUACCUUUUACUUGAAAUAAUGCAGCUGUUUACUUUUUCCUGAGAAAGAUCUGGAAAAGUUAAGAAUAAACAUUGUCACCGAAUUGUUACUUGAUAAUAAGACUUUUAACCUUGCUCACUCUCUUAGCCUUACUUUUCCUUCCCACAGUUCCUCUUUACUUCCUCCAUGGCUGGGCGGUGACUCAUUUCCUCCACCUUUCCCCGCACCCCCACCCCCCCAAGGAAACCCUGGUGGCGAAGUAGUUAAGCACUGCAGCUGCUAACCAAAAGGUCAGCAGUUCGAAUCUGCCAAGCGCUCCCGGGAAACUCUAUAGGGGCAGUUCUACUCUGUCCUACAGGGCUGCGAUGAGUUGGAAUCGACUUGACGGCAGCAGGUUUUUUUGGCUUUUCUCCUGAAAAGCUUAAUGUGAUUUAUUCAUGAAUAACCUCUUGGUUCUGCCUUGAAGGCUAAUACCUAAUUUGUUCUUAAUGUUUCUGAACAGGACUGAUACAGCAAACUCUUUAGGCCGCUCUCUGUUCAGACAGUUCUUUUUGUGGUGCAGUGGUUCUUCUCUUGGAUAAUGUCAGUGGUCAGACUUCUGAUAGUGAGUGAAGUCUGACCGUACUUAUGAAGUUUCUUUUUAGAAGUAUAAACUUCUUUGCAUAAGGUGACUUUUAGAGAUUAGCCAUAGAGGACUGCAGAAAAUUUUCUUUUCAUUUUCGGGAAAAAGGGUUAACUAAGAUUAGACUAAGGUGCAUCUGACCAAACCCAUGGCCUUUUCACCUGCCACAUGUGCAUGCAAAAGUUGGCUAGUGAAGAAGGAAGACGGAACGAGAGCUGGUGCAUUUGAACUGUCCUGUUGGCAAAGAAUAUUGAAUAUACCCAAACCAAAAACCAAACCCGUUGCCGUCGAGUUGAUUGCGACUCAUAGCUACCCGAUAGCACAGAGUAGAACUGCCCCAUAGGGUCUCCAAGGGUGUGAACCUUUAUGGAAGCAGACUGCCACAUCUUUUUCCUGUGGAGCGGCUGGUGAAUUUGAACCGUUGAACUUUUGGUUAGCAGCUGAGUGCUUAACCCACUGCACCACCAGGGCUUCUUUGAAUAUACCAUGAACUGCCAAAACAACAAACAAACCAAACGCACUGCCGUCGAGUUGAUACUGACUCACAGUGACCCUAUGGGACAGAGUAGAACUGCCCCAUAGAGCUUCCAAGGAGUGGCUGGUAGAUUCGAACUGCCAGCCUUUUUGGUUAGCAACUGAACUCUUAACAGCUGUUUGUUUGUUUUAUUAGUAUGGACUGCCAAAAACUGAACACAUCAGUCUUAGGAGAAAUACAACCAGAAUAUUCCUUAGAAGUGAGGAUGGUAGGACUUCAACUCACUUACUGUGGUCAUGUCAUCAGAAAUUAGACAGAUAAUUAUGACAAGACCAAAAUCUAGGAGUAAAUGUCUCUUUUCUUCAGCCUUCCCUCUCCGUCGAUCUGGUUCAUUAGCCAUAUCUCUAAAUUCUAUCUCAAAUUAUAUCCUCUCUGUCACCACUAAUGUGGUCCCAGUCCAGGCUGCCCUCAUCUCUUACCUGGAUUCCUGCAAACCCCUCCCCACUGAUCCUCAGCUUUCACUCUUGCCCCUGCACAAUGGCAGCCAGAGCAAUCUUCAUAAUUUGUCCUUCUUGAGUGAGUGAGAUGAACUUCCCCGUUCUGUGAAGGGUGGUCCUGUGAAGGGAGCACGGUGGCCAGGGUGCCUUUUCCAGCCUCAGGAAGGACCGCAGCACAGGUCUGUCUCUCAGAGCUCCAUGGCUGCUGAGGCCUCCCGAGGUGUGCUCAGUGUCUGGCCUUUGAAUGCUGUGGUUGCUCCUCCAACCUUGCUGUAGAUGGCCUGCCCUCCUGCCAUCCAAACCUCUCUGCCUUUCUUCCAGGCUUCCUAUGCUGUUCAUUUGGAUAUUCCCCCAGCCAUGUUCCUGCAGGAGUGGAGUGAGUGGAGUGCUUGCAGAUGGUUCUGCAGUCCCUUAGUGACUCCCCUCAUGGUCAUUUGUGAUCAUCUGCAGUCAGACCCUGGGAGGACUUCACCCAGUUUGCCGGUAGUUAUUCCCAGACCCACUUGACAAGGCUUUCACUCAAGUGGGGUCCCUCUUUCUGGAGGUGGGUAUUCCUUGCUGGUUUUGUGACUCUAAGACCAAUCUGUCAUGCCUUUUCACCUCUCACUGCCCAGCCCUACAACUGCUGACCCUGUGUGACCCUGCCCACUGACAUUCAGUGCUUUGAUUUUACCUACUGAAGAUGCCGUCCACCUCUCACUGUUCUAGUUGGUUUGUAUGGUUUUCAGGUGAUUUAGAGAGAUUCCAAAAUUAUACUGGGUCCAUCAAAUUAAAUAUUGGCCUUACAGGCCUUCCUGACCACCCUCAAAAGUGGCCACCCCUCCCUCACACGCUGUUGGAACUCUCUGCCUGGUGCAUGUUACCACCUGAUGUUUCUCUUUAUUCUCUAGUUGUUUCUGAGGGCUCCGACCAUCUUGCUCACUUCUGAAUCCCCACUGGGCUAAAAUAGUGGCAGACCCAACAUACAGGAGGGGAAUGAAGAGCAUAAUACACUCUACUCCAUUCCUUGCCACCCUGAAUAUUGUGAAACUUUUCCCUAAAACUCUAAACCUCCUUACAAUGGUUAUAUUAUCCUGAAAAAAUAAGAAAAUUUUCUUCUAAAAUGUUAUGAGGGUACUUAAAUUCUAAAACACAAAAAGAAGGCUCCAUUUAAGAUAUUAAAAAAUCAGAUAUACACUGAAUUAAAUAUCACCGAAAAUUAACAGUCUAGGGUUAACCUUGUCUCAGCAAAGAAGGCUGAUGUCUUGGCCUCUUUCUGUUAUGGAUUCUGUUGUCAUGUAUGCAUUACUUGCGUGCAUGUCUGUGUACACAUACACUAUGGUUAAAGACAGAGUAGUAACUGGUAUCUAAGACAGUGUAAACUCUAUAUUCACCACUGUAAUGGUUCCAUUGGGGCACUCUACAAUAUAGGGUGAAGAAAGAUGGUCUUAGAACCAGAAGCAAAGCAAGAUUCUUGCCCUAUCUCUGCCCCUUAGUGAUUAUAUGAGCUUGGGUCUACCACUUCAUGUCGCUAGACUUACUUCCAUCAGUAAAAUAAGGGGGUUGGGCCCUUUCCAGCUCUGAGUACUGGGAUUCUUAUAAGCAUAAAUAUUAGUUAGCUUAAGACCAAUUCUAACCCCCUGGCACACGAGUCAUGAGAUAGAAGUGUUUUCUGAGUUGGAGCCUGCUAUAAAUGCAACCCGAUAAUGAAAACAGAAGUAAUACCAUUAAAAAAAAAAAAAAAAACUUCAGUUUAAUUUUAUAAUUAUCCAUUUGCAAGUAGCCACUGAGUAUUUUUUCGUUGUUCCACGGUGGUAGUGUCUUGGGGGAUGCAUUUACGAGAGAUUUCUUUGGGAAGUAUAGUUCUGAAAAUAGUACCAUGCAUUUCUGAAAAAUUUGAAUUAACACCAACAAAUUGAAAUGGCAUAGGGUUUGUAUUUCGAAUAACUUUAUGACAUAUUUUUUAUUUAAACACAAAGAUUCUUGUACAGAGUAGAGAAGACUGUGAGAAAGUAUUAAAUUACUGAUAUAAUAAUGAUGAUAGCUGCCACAUAUUGAGCACAUGUUAUGUGCCAGACCCUGUGUGAAGCAUAUUACAUACAUUGUUAUUUAACCAUACUGUGAAGAAAACAUUGUUAUUUCUGUUUUACGGAUGAAGAGACUGAGAUGCGAAAAAAUUAAACAGUGGCACAAAGCUAGUGAGGAAUAAAGGUGAUAAUAGUUAUAGUGAGCAUUCAUAUAGUACUUGCUAGGUGCUGGGCUCUGUUCUAAGUACACCUACUCCUCACUUAUCGACUGUCUUGUUAUUCGACAUUUAGCAUUACAACAAUAAGUAAAAAGUCUACUACCCAACUCUUUUGCACAUUAACGAUGUACGUCUGGUGGUAACGAAAACUGAGGUGCAAAAUGAGAGCAACACUGGCUGUGAUGGUUAAGGUUAUGUGUCCUCUUGGCUGAGCUAUGAUUCUCAGCAGUUUGGCAGUUAUAUAAUGAUGUAAUUUGGCAGUUAUGUAAUAAUGUAGUUUGGCAGUUAUAUAAUGAUAUAGUCAUUCUCCAUUAUGUGAUCUGAUGUGGUCAUCCUCCAUAACACUGAUUUUCUCAUGACAGCCUGAUCUUUGGAACCUAACCAUGUCAAUAGUGAGGAGUGGGUGUAUUUUGCUUUCAUUAACUCAUUUAAUCUUUACGAACUCCUUGAGGUUGGUACUAUUACCGUAUUUUUACCCAAAUAAUGCAUGCCUCCUACAUUUGUUUGCCAACUGCACCCUCCCCCCAUGAGAAAUUUUCAUAACCAUGCUAUGCUAACCUUUUUUUUAUAGCAACAUGUAAAAAAAAUUGGCAUAGUGGCACUUAUGAAAAUACCUUGUGGAGGGAGGGCACAGUUGGCAAACAAAUGUAGAAGCCGCACGUUGUUUGCGUAAAAAUAUGAUAUGUCUCUUUUUACAGAUGAGAAAGCUGAGGCAUGAAAAGGUUGAGUAACUUGGCCAAGGUCACAUAGUAAGUGUCAGAACAAGGAUUUGAACUUAGGCAGCCAGUCUCCACAGUUCAGGUUCUUGCCUUCAACAAUUUCAUUAGAAGUGAUGCCAGAAAAGCAGAAAUGAUCCGAAGUAAUAUUAAACUUGUUCUUCAUUCCGUUAGAGCCAACAUUGAGUUUUUAGCCAUAUUGCAUAUGACUAAAAUUCAGCAAAACUAAAACUUCCUGUUGCUUAAAAUCUCGAGUUUGGGGACCAUUAGCAGGAAUGCACUCUUAAUCUCAGGUGUCGGAACCAUAUUGCAAAGUGAGUGUUUGCUCUAGGGUACCUAUGGUUACCAAAGAGCAUUAAAGACACCCGAAUUGCUGAUGAUCACCUGGUGUCUUCCUGGUGGCUUGGUUAUUCUGCACCAGGGAGUGGGGGAGGUUUGCAAGUCUAAAAUUAUUGGCAUGUUUUUAUGAGAAAUUUGAAAUAAUGCUUACCCACAAUUGGGAGUGACCUAUGGCUUACCAUUUAAAUAGAAUCCUUUAAUUUUUUGUUAUUGGAACUAUUUCUUAACUUAGGCUCUGUAUUUAAGAAAAAACUGAAGGCUAGUGAUACCUGUAAACACGAGGCAGCCUGAGGCUUUAAUCAGCAUGUAGAUUCAUAGGCAACUAAGCCAGGCUCUGUGUUUGGCUUGGGUUACUACUGUGCCAGUGAGCCAGCGGCGCUGACACGCAACCGAAAAUGACAGACAAGGGCCAAGAUCAACAGAUCUAGCAUUACUUGCUUACCUCGUGAUUAUUGAGCUGAUUGCUUGGAAAGUCUUCAGUGGUUUUCAACUUGAAAAGCACAAAUUUGAAAUAAAUAAAUUGAUCCAUUAACCUGUUAUAGGAAGAUUCCUACUGUGCUUAGUACCCCCAGAUCAUCGCAGAUAAGGCUGACUAAACUACCCUCUAAUAGAUUUUCAGGGUAAUACGUGGACCAUAAAAUGACCAUUAACCAACUUGCUUUGUUUAUGGGAGGCAGGCACUUAAUGCCACUGGCCUCAAUGGAAGUACAUUCCGCUGUGGUGUGUUUCAGUGCAGCGAAGUCAUUGAUCAGAUGAAAAUGACCAGUUAGCAAGUAAGUGUUGCCUGAGCUGUAGGCUUUAUGAAUAAUGUGUUCUUCAGUUAAAAACAGCACUUUAAGCAAUUGUUUAAACCUGACCAUUUGGGAAUGAGGAAGAGAGCUUCAUGAAUAAUUUAUUUUCAAAAGAAAAGAUUAAGGGAUCUGAACUUUUUCACCUUCUCAGACCUUUUUUAUUGAAGUGAAAAUACCUACAUAUAAUAUGGAGCCAGAUAAAUAAAACUUGUAAUACAUAUGAGAUGUAAGUUUAUAUACUUUCACUUUUAAAAAGCCUUUAUUGAGAAAUGUGUAGGCAUGUAAAUACAAUGAGUUUAAAAUAAGAACUGUGUACAGAAUUGCUGGAAGGAUUGCGGUAUUUUAGAUGCAACAAUGAACAUGCAUUAGCAUAGUGCCAUGGGAAAGCUUGAAAUAUAGUUAAUAUGUCCUUGUAUCGAAAAGGACUCCAUGAAAGCAGACCAGUUUGAUCCCUUGUGCUUAAACAUUAUGCUUUCCACUUUCUAAAACAGACUAUCAUCUUAUAAGAAUUGCAUGUCCUUGGUUCAAGGUUUAAAUAAGAGUUUGGGAUGGGAGUUUGGUACCAAUAGGCCAAUACCAAAAUUCUUUUUUCCCCCUCUACCCUCUCCUUCCUCUUGUUCUUAUGUCAUUGAAAACUCCCUGCAAUUCUGUAGUUAUGGCCCCUGUUUAAUAUGUGACCAGAGUUACUUGCCUCAGUUGAUGAAAUUUUCAUCGAUCAUUUUGGCAUUGAAGGAAUUAACAAGAAGUGCACAAAUGAGCCUGGAUACUGCACUUCAAAGUCAUAAUCCUACCACGACCACCAACAGCAGCUGUCAUUUAUUGAGUGAAUUACUCUGACAGGCUCUGUCCUAAGCACUUAACACUAAUUGUUUAAUCCUAACAACUUUCUGAGCUAUGGGCAACUUUAGUCUUCAUUUUAUAGAUGAGGAAACUGAGCCUUAGAGUGUUUAAUUACUUUUCCAAUACACCAGAGCCCGAGCUUUUACCCCUUUCACCUAUACUGCUUUCUCCUUUAUCCUCAUAAUCAGAUCAGAGGUACUUGUGCAGUAUAGGUAAUGGAUAUCAUAUAAUGGCACACUUCAUUUUUUACUAUUUAUUUUUCAACCCCUGUGACAAACUGGAACACAGUCAAGAACAAGACAUAUGAGGAAAGGCCUAACUGGAAUUGUUGUUGUCAGAUUCCCAGACUGUCAAAGACCCUCUCACGGAGCCCAUUUUCUCUGGGUUGUCAGGGUGACAUGUUUGGAAACAUGUAGCACACAUACUGACAACAGCUAGGAGCCAAUGCUUGUAUAAUAAGAGAGGAGACCAGGAAAAAAAAAAAAAGAAAACUAUAAAUGUAAAGCACAAAGGCUUGAGUUUCAUGCUCAUAACAUUAAUAAAAGAUUAAAUUAAUUUCUUAUUAUGAGUAAACACAGGAAUGUCUUUGUUUUUAAAAGAUACUCAUAGAAAAUGGCUAAAAUAAAGUUUGGGUAUCCAAAAAGAUAGACAUCUGAUAUCUGAAACCUUUGCUAAUGAGGAAAAGUAUAUUCUCCAGUGGUGGUAGACAAAUGAGGAGAGGCUGUAGGGAUUAAGUCUUGUACUUACAGCUGUUGGUAUCAUAAAUACAUUUGCCAUGAUAUAGGAAUCUUGAUUGUCCUCAUCUUUUUCUGCUUGCUGCUUCUGGGAGCUUUAAAAAAAAUUAAUGUUUAAGAUAGUGGGUCUCCCAUUUUGAGCCAGUCACACUUGAAAAAUAUUCCUUGAAAUUAUCUAAACUUAAUUUUUGGCCAUUUUGUUUCAGAAAUACUAACCUCAGGGGAUCUUUUUUCUCUACUCUGAAACUUAACCUAUUUGGAAAAAUUCCAUUUACCCUCUGUAGAAAUUGACUGGACAUGGCUCCUGUGAAUGAUACGGUUGCUAUUAUCCCUGAACACUGUGAAAAUGAACUUUGAAACAGUUGGGUAGGACUGAAACAGAAAAUGAUGUAUAGCUUGGAAAUGGUUUAGUUGAACAUUAUGCUUCAAUAUUUUACUGGCCAUUGUGGCACAGGCUUUAGAAAUACAUGCUUGGUUUUUUAAAGUUUUAUUUUUGGAUUGGAAACUUUCUCAUGGACCAAAAUAGAUGAAUCAAGUGUGUUUGAAUCAAUGCUGAAAUGUCAACCACAUCUGCAGAAUGAAAAUCACUAGCCAGUUAUUUGAAAUCCACAUAAAAAGAAAUCAUCUUACUGUGUACUUCAUUCAUCCAGCUUUUCCUCUUUACUGGAGGAAAGAAUGUUGAGAAUCUUUAUAAAAAUGAAUAUAACAGGAUUAUUAUUUUAUUCCAAGUUUUCCAGAAAAUACCAAAGCAUGGAAUAUGCUGCUCUGCAUACUCUGCAUAGAGAACCACCCAGUCUAGAUUAAUUUGAGUAUUGUCAAAGCAGACACUCUAAACACAUCAUUUCUCCAAAGUUUGUGCCUGAAAAUAGAUUGAGAAGAUUUUGUAAAACCUUGUGGUGUAAUUCUAAUUACCUUUAAACUAUACCAGAAUUUAUUGUUGGAAAAGCAAGAGUGGAUAAGAAUAUAGUACCCCUACCAAAUAAAAAUUGCAGUGGAAAAUCUUACAUGUAACUACAUUAGUUUCUUAGGUCUGUCUUUUGGAAGCGCUUAUUGGUUGUAAUGUUUACUAGUAGACACAUUUUAAAGGACUGGUGUACUAAAAAAAAAAAAACCCC